rnacentral:lncRNA from 1 species
UAUCCUUACCUGAGAGCAUUGAAGAAUCAACACUAUUUUAUUUUAAAGCAUAACAUAAUAUUGGUCAAUUCCUUUUGAUUGAUCAUUGCAUAAAAAUCCUUUAGUGAUCAUAUUCAUUACAAUUAAAACAUUUAAUGAUUAAAUGUGACGCCUGGAUAAUUAAGCUACAAUAAUCCCUCGCUAAUGGUGCCAUGUCAUCAGCAUUACUAUUGCUAAUCCUCGCUUGAUCCAAAUCUUAGUUCAAACUCAAAUUCAAAUUAAAGCCCAAAAUUCAAAUUUCUCAAACACGCAAAAUAAAAUGUUCAAAGUGUGGAAAAUAUUCCAUAACUAAUUACAGUGGUGACCCAAAUUUUUUAUAAAGUGAUUAAUUGCACUAAAAUAAAUAAAACAUUGGCUAAAAUAAUAAGUUAAAUGCUUUUAAAAUUUAUAAAAACGCUAAACUAUUCUUUUUAAACCUCAAACUAUUAUUGGCAGUGGCAUAAGUUACUAGUGUUGAAUUAGGGACUAGUGUUGUAUUUUGUAAAACUAAAACUAUAAUAAAACUAAAUAGAAAACAGAAAAUGUAAAAAGAAAAGACAAUGCAGAGUAAAUAAAAGGAGAAAGGCCCCUGACCCCCCUGGGCCUCGACCCACCCCCACCCGAGCCGGCCCACCUACCUUUCCCUCCCCCACCGGUCGUCCUGUUCCUGCGACCGCAUCGCUACAGGGACGCGGUCGCCACCGAACCACCUCGUCGGCGCCGACGCUGGGAGGGGAUAAGGACGACCCCUCGGGCUCCCCCCUGCCACUCCACUCGCCCCACUCCCUCUGGACGCUCUCUCUCCCUGUUGCCCUCUCUCUCACGAGAUCCCACCUCACCGAGCACCAUCGUCGUCGCCCCACCUCGCACCACCACGGCGACCGCCUCCCCCGCGCCCCUCCAGAGAGCCCAGCCGCUCCGCCGUCGGCUCCUACGACGGCCACGGCCACCAGCUCGCGCCAGGAUCCCCUGCCUUGUCGGGUCCGCGUUGUCUUCAACCUCUGCACCUGCCGGCGAUAUCUCCGUCGAAUUCGGCGCUGUCCGGCCUUCCCCGAGCCCGGUGAGCCCCUGCCUUCUUUCCCCCGCCCCUCUCGUCGACGUUCGUACCCGUAACCGUCAUCCCCGCUGUGGCCGAGCCCUCCGCCGCGUACGCUCGUCGCCGGCGUGGUUUUGGUGACCCAUUGGUCACGGGCACAUGCCAUUCGCUUUGUUGGCCCGCGUAGAUGCCGUAGGUACCUCGCGCCGUUCAGUUUGCACGCCGUAGUCUAGAUUCUGACGACGCUCGAAGUCUAGCGUCCGCUGCGGUGGUCGCCGCCGUGCCUACUGCCCUUUGCUAUCGCCGCUCCGUCCGCGCAGCCCGCUCCACGGCUUCGCCCGCCCGAGUGCUGCCCGUGGCCGCUUCCCCCGCUUCGCCUGACGCGGCCACCGCCCCCUGCUGCGUGCUGCCGCAGCCGCCACGCCCCGCCCGCGCGCCCGUUUGCGCGUGGUCGCGCCGCCGCUCGCGCCCCGAUUCCUCACCCUCCCCCCCUGGCUCUGCUUAGCCGUCAUCGCCGUGGCUUUGCUCUGUCUGCGCCGUUGUCGCCGGCAACCCCGCCCGCCUGCGCNNNNNNNNNNNNNNNNNNNNNNNNNNNNNNNNNNNNNNNNNNNNNNNNNNNNNNNNNNNNNNNNNNNNNNNNNNNNNNNNNNNNNNNNNNNNNNNNNNNNNNNNNNNNNNNNNNNNNNNNNNNNNNNNNNNNNNNNNNNNNNNNNNNNNNNNNNNNNNNNNNNNNNNNNNNNNNNNNNNNNNNNNNNNNNNNNNNNNNNNNNNNNNNNNNNNNNNNNNNNNNNNNNNNNNNNNNNNNNNNNNNNNNNNNNNNNNNNNNNNNNNNNNNNNNNNNNNNNNNNNNNNNNNNNNNNNNNNNNNNNNNNNNNNNNNNNNNNNNNNNNNNNNNNNNNNNNNNNNNNNNNNNNNNNNNNNNNNNNNNNNNNNNNNNNNNNNNNNNNNNNNNNNNNNNNNNNNNNNNNNNNNNNNNNNNNNNNNNNNNNNNNNCUCACCGACCGUCGUCGCCUCCCAUCGCCGGCUGCCCCACUCCGCCGCCCACCAGCUGCUCUGCGCCGCCUCUGGCCACGCCCCCUCCGGCCCCAACCCGCACCUCGCCGGCGCCCCGCCAUGCCCCGGCCGGCUUCGCCUGGCCGCGCCCGGGUCUGCCCCGUCGGCUGCCUGCAGCCCCGUCUACCCGUCGCCCGCUAAGGCCCCAGAGGCCUAUGACAACGGGGCCCCACGCCCCUUUUCCAAAAAAAGAGUUAUAAAAAUAUAAUAAUAAAUUAAUUAGUUAGUUAAUCAAUUAAAAAGUUAAUUCACUAGCUAGUUAAUCUAUAAUUCGUUAAAUGUCUCAAUGACACGGGGGCCCACCCCCUAUUGACCAGUCAAACGUUGACUGGUCAACUGGGACCCCCUGGCCCACCUGUCAGUCACUGUGAACACUUUGUGUACACUGUGUUGGGUGCAUCUAGUGUUUUAGCAAUUAUUUUUGAAUUAAAAAUAAAAUCAGGGUAAUGUUUAAACCUUUGAAAAAUCAUAUAAAAUAAUCCGUAACUCGGAUGAAAAAGUUUUAUACCUGAAAGUUGCUCAGAACGACCAGACGAAUCCGAAUAUGCUCUCUGUUCAUCUGUCACAUGCCCCUAGCAUAGAAAACAUGCCACCUUCCCCCUCCGUUUCAUCUGCCCAAAAAUGCCAAAUUUCGGGAAAACUUUCCCGGAUGUUAUCCCCCUUCGUCGGUAUCGUGUAGCAUUGCGUUAGAACACCCCUAGCUCUGCGUAUCGCAUUGUCAUGCUUAGUAUUGCAUAUUUUUUCUUGUAUUUAUUGUUUCUUCCCCCUCUUCUUCUCCGGUAGACCCCGAGACCGCUGUUGAUGUCCCUGUGAUCGACUACAUCGACGGCGACCCUUCUUCCCUUUCAGCGGAGCUUCUAGGCAAGCCCCCCCCUUUGAUCAUCCCGAUAUCGCCCAUUCCAUUCUCUCAUGCUUGCAUUAGAUUUUGCUACUGUUAUUGAUUGCUCUUAUUCUGAUGCAUAGCCUACUUUUGUAAUCUGCUGGUGUACCUUACCUGCUUAUCCUAAACUGCUUAGUAUAGGUUGGUUAGUGAUCCAUCAGUGACCCCCACUUGUCCUUGUUUCCCCUGCUUCAUGAUCGACGCCUCGAUCAAUGUGUUCGAUGACCAGAGCCUGACACCUCACAUCACAUCACGCCCCUUUAGUUGCUCGACUCUGCAGAGCUACUAUCGAGUGCCGAGGGUGAUCCCUCAUAACGCACUCCUCAUGAUAAUUUUGUAGUGUAGCUAUUCGGUCGUGGUCAACGGGGGUGGUUCCUCUUUCACCAUUCCCGAUACGGCUCUGUCGUGCAACACCUCAAGUGUGAACCUCGAGGGUGGAUCCUCUUACGUUCGCCUUGAUGAUUACAUCGAGUGGAAUCCUCCGUGGGUGAUUCCUCGGGUUUUCCCCUUGAUGUUUGGACACACGGUUACCUUGACUUUAUUUGAGACCAUUGUUGAAGUCGAGUCGGCCCUGAGGGGUACCUGCGAGUUGAUGUGAAAGUCGGGCGGGCCCAUGGAGCACCCGCGAGUUUUCUAUGUGGCACGGCCGGGCAGUGUGGGCCCUUGCCGUAAGUCCAUGAGACGGGGCGACGGGGUCACAUUAUCGUGAGUCUCUGCUCAUCUCCGCGAGCCCCCAAUGCACUAACAGGUUUGGGUAUUUGUUCUGAGUUGGCCUCUGGCCUUUACGCACUAACCACCACGCGAGAAUAGAUAUGGGCCUCGACGUCGCAGUAUCAGUCGAAGCUUUGUCAGACGUCCAGUUCAGCAUUGCGGCACGGUCGGAUCGUGCUGGCCAUCCGAGGCGGUGCUGGUAUUCACCCUGCUCGCAACGACCCGGAGUGCAACGGGCGAUGGGCCCAAGACCCCGGGGCACUUAGGAUGUAGACCGGCGAGGACCUCUCUGCUGAGCCUAGGUAGGGCUGCGACGUGUUGAUCUUCCAAGGCCGGGCAUUGACCCCAGAACGGUGUGUCCAGCCAGAGUGAUCGAGCGUGGUGGGUAACGUGGUGCACCCCUGCAGGGAAGAUAUAUAUUCGAAUACCGUGUCCACGGUAAUGGACGUUCAGACUUGUAUCCGGAUCUUAUAUAACUAGAAAUGGAUACUUGAGAUAUGUGAUGGAUAUGUGGCUCCGGGAUUUCUUUCUCGUAGGGAGUCGAGGAAGGAUCUCUGGGCGUUGAUACUACAACAUGUUUGUUAAAUAUAAACUACUAUUCUUUACUCUUCUACGUGCUGCAAGAUGCUUGGAGCUGCUUGAAGAUGCAAUCUUCGAUAGGCUAGGCCUUCCCCCUAUUCUAGCAUUCUGCAGUUCAGUCCACAGAUACAGCCCUUCCAUUUGAUACCAAUGCAUACUUAGUAUAUAUCUGAUACUUGCGAGUACUUUGGACGGUUGCUUUGCUACCCCUUUUCCCCCUUCCUUCUUUCCCGUUGAUGCAACCAGAUGGUGGAUCCCUGGAGCUAGAUGCCACCCCCGAGGGUGCCUACUACUACGUGGAGGCCGCCGACGACCAGGAGUAGUUAGGAGGUCCCAGGCAGGAGGGCUUGCCUCUUUGAUCGUGUUGCUUUUGUGCUAGCCUUCUUAAGGCAAAACUUGUUUAACUUAUGUCUGUACUCAGAUAUUGUUGCUUCCGCUGAUUCUUGUGUUUCGAGCUUCUGUAUUCGAGCCCUCGAGGCCCCUGGCUUGUAAUAUGAAGCUUCUAUUAUUUCUGUUUGUGUCUAGAGUUGUGUUGUGAUAUCUUCCCGUGAGUCCCUGAUCUUGAUCGUACACGUUUGCGUGUAUGAUUAGUGUACGGUUGAAUCGGGGGCGUCACAUUAAAUCAUGUAAGAUCACAUUGGUUACAUCCAAAUCCUCUACUAAGAACCAUGCCUUGGGGAAGUGGUCUUUUUUUUGAGGAAUGCAGAAGUAGUCAUUUAGUCCAUAUAUAAUAUGUCAUGAGAGAAAGCAACUUGCUUUGGGCCUCUUGGCCUUUACUAGAAAAUGAGCUAAUCCACCCAUCUGGCUUUUCAGGGCCAAUUUUGAAAUACCUAGUACUAAGGUUCUAGCGCGAAAGUUGGAGCAGUUUUAAGUUACAAAAUUGACCAACCUACUCAGCGCAACUUUGAGUGCAUAUUUGUUUUGAGCCCUGUGAAAAUCUCACAUGUAGCGCUCAUUGUAUUUAGAACAUGUAGAACCCUUCUUAAGCUCCUUGGGUCCCUAAUACGUCCAUUUUGCAUCACUAUUUCCUACCAUGCAUUUCUUAAUUGUAAAAAUAGUUUGCACACUAUGUCUUAAUUCUUAUACCCUUUUCCCUUCAAUUUUGAAUUUUGCAACAAGGAUGGGGAAUUCUGGAAAGUUGUAAGAAAGGACCAAAAGAAGGCUAAAUGAAGAAAAUAUUUUUUCCUCGGAUCCAUAAAAAUAUGAAGUCCGUAUGCAUGAACAUAGAGCUAGUGGGCAAGGUCCAGGCCUAGGGGUGGCUUCUGGGCCCAUCACACCUACCAAACAUGCACAAGUCCUAGGGCCCAUCACUUGGCCACGUGGGACCCACAUGGACCCCCUAGUCCCCACUUUGACACCCCUGAUCUUAUACCCGGGAGAAACCCCUGGCCUAAUUAUCUAGAAUUUUUUGGCCGCCAAGGCAGAACAUGGAGCACUUUUCCUCCGUCAGAGGGCUGAUUCUGCCAAGAUCAACCCCUCCACACAGGGAAAUGCAAAGUCAUCGUCAUCACCGGUGCUGAAGGCAUCGCAUGGAUCAUCUUCAUUCACACCAUCUUCAUCUCCAACCCCUUUCAAUCUAUGAACAAUUGUUAUAGAUUAGUUAUUGUGAUCACUUCACGGUGUUAAUUGCUUCUUAGUAAUUGCUGCUUUGAGAUUUCUUAGUUAAAUAAUCAUAUGUUCAGGUUGUUAUCCAUAUCACUACCCUACUGAUCAUGUUUGUUAUGAUGUAUUAUGACUUUAUGAGUAAUCCAUUAUGUUUUGAGGACCUAGGAGAAACCAUGUUAUUAGUGACCAUGGGAGGUUGCAUAAAGUUUAAUGUUUUGAUAUUAUGUUGUGGUGUAAUUCUCUAGUGGUGAUGUGCGAACGUUGACUUAAUGUCAUUUCAUGUACAUGGGCCUAGAGGAAUUUAUAACAUGUUCCCUAUAGGUGUACUUCCUAUAUAACAUGUUCCCAACCUAUGUUAUGAUUUGGUAUGAAUGUUUGAUUUAANNNNNNNNNNNNNNNNNNNNNNNNNNNNNNNNNNNNNNNNNNNNNNNNNNNNNNNNNNNNNNNNNNNNNNNNNNNNNNNNNNNNNNNNNNNNNNNNNNNNNNNNNNNNNNNNNNNNNNNNNNNNNNNNNNNNNNNNNNNNNNNNNNNNNNNNNNNNNNNNNNNNNNNNNNNNNNNNNNNNNNNNNNNNNNNNNNNNNNNNNNNNNNNNNNNNNNNNNNNNNNNNNNNNNNNNNNNNNNNNNNNNNNNNNNNNNNNNNNNNNNNNNNNNNNNNNNNNNNNNNNNNNNNNNNNNNNNNNNNNNNNUGCUUAUAGUUAUGUGUCGAUGCUGCUUUGAGAUGCUACUAGUGAACAUAAGAACAAUACCAAUUUCCCUGCAUAAGAAAAACUCUAGUAUAAUUUCAUAUCCAUUUUUAUUUCCAAUAGACUAGUUUAAAAAUGCAAGAAAUAUACUUCUAUGCCCAUAGAGAAUUAUAAUAGGCUUAGAGGAAAACUCAUAUGCAUGUGUAAAACUAUAAAGGUUCUAGUUUUGCCUCUAGGACUAGCUCAAGUGUUGCAUGAUGAUUAUGUUUUCCUGAUCAUAGGUAUUAGUUAAGUGUAACGAUGAUGCCGACAACAUUGAGGGCAUGAUGUUAAAAUGAGAUGUUAACGUGUGAACAAUUCCUUAGACCAUGAGAGUAUUGAGUCACUUCAUAUUGGACGAUGCACUUUGGGGUUGUUCUAACGUCAACCAUAACAGAGUGAUCAUAAGGACAACUUACAGGCUCAUCGAAAACGUAUCAUGGGACUAGAUAGCUCAAGACUGGAAUUUGCUCCUCCGAUGAUGGAGAGAUAUUCUUAGGGCCCUCUCGGUGUGACAACACCCAUCAUCGUCUAGACAGACAUAGUGUGACUUGCUCAUGGCCAGAACACGAUAAACGAAAGGAGAACAAAACUAGUAACGAGGAGACUGACAUAGUGAUAAUAUGUUUGACUCAUGGGAUGCCGAUAUAUCUCACGAGGGGUUUUGUAAGGUAUCACAAAGCAAAAAUAAUAGCAUACGGUAACCACAGGUUCACUCGAUAAUCAUUCAUGUGAGUAUAGGGUUAACAUGGAUAUCCACAUGGUUCCACUAUUGAUCAUUGAACGAAAGGGUUUUUGUUCAUAUCUAUAUUUCACCAAACCUGCAGGGUCACAUGCUUAAGGGUUAUGAUCUGUUGAGUUUUAUUGGAGGUAGGAGUUCAAGAAAUAUCACUGAAAAAGGUUCUGGAGAUAAUAGAAAUUGUUUUGAGAGAUACCGAAAGUGUUUUGGGAAAACCGAAAGCGUUUAAGAGAAAACUAAGUAAAACCUGGAAGGUGGAAAAGUUCUGGAGGACUUAAUAAUAAUACAGGAGGGCUCUGAUAUUUAUCGAUAGCUCCCUGGGAUUAUUCUAGGCGCCAUGGACUACCCAAAUAAGCUAAAGCCUAUUAGGGGGCAGCCACAUGGGCCUAAGGCCUAAUAAGGGUGGUGCCCCCUUAGCCUUGACCCCAAGCUAAGGGGGUGCGGCUAGGAGUUGGAGGAGGAGUCCUCCUCCUUGGCCGGUGCCACAAGGGAGGGAUUGCGCACUCCUCCAAGUCGGCCAACCCCCUCCUACAGCUGUUGAGACACAAGUUUCUCUUGCAACUCCGGGCCGGGGCGCCACCUCUCUCCAGUUCUCUAGUUCUCCACAAAACUGUGAGACGCCACGAGGCUGCUCCUACCUCCUUUGUUUAUUCGGGAAAGCCUAGCUCUAGACGGUGAAGCGCUGCCUCAUCGUCAAUCUCGUAUCCGUGCAAUCCUUAGAGAGAUUGUGCUUUCGAUCUUUGUUCGAGGGACUUUAAGAACGAUCUACACGAACUCUUCUUUCGCUUCAACUCGAAGUUGGUAAUGAUCAGAUCUAACCUUGUAUGUAUAUUCAUAGUGAUCUUGGGGUCUCGAUCCGUAGGCCGAUUUUUUAUAUUUUCUACUAUGUUUCCCAACAGUGGCAUAUGAGCGAUCUGUGAGUAAAUGUAGGUUACGAUCUAGAAUACAUGUGUUGUUUGGGUAUUGCACAAAAGUUUUCCGUACUGGGUUAGAUCUAUUGCUAAAAAAUUGAGUAGUAGAUGAGUUCUAUUUAUUAAUUAAAUUUGUGCGAGUAGAAGAUAAGAUUUAUUGUUAGUAGAUACAAUCUUCUACUUGAUGUUCUUGUUGCUUCCUUGAAUUUGCGGUUUUCUGAUCUUGGUGGCAUCGUCCAAACAUUAUUCCAAAGUUCUGGCAAUCUACGAUUCUUCCAUGCUACUCUUAGUAUGUUGAUCAGUCAGAUCAAAGAAGUACUUCAGUUCUUUGGGUUUCAUGUUAGUCAAGAAAGACAAAAUAUGUGAAACUAGAGGCUAUGUAGAUUUAAUGUACACAUGGAUCAUGCAUAUUGACGAAAUUUAGUCUGGGGCUAGGUAUCUUUAAUUAAGUCUCUUCCCUCACACACCUCGCAAACUUAAUCUAGCAACAUGAAUGAUCAUACUUGAUGAUGGACAUAGAUAACUAGUGUUUGUUCCGAAACCCUAGAAGCCACAUAUUUCUGUUGUUGCAUAAACCGAUUAGAGGCGUCUAACUUGGUUUUGCUGGCUGCAUGUGAUGUGGUAUAGCCUUCGUCAUAUUAAUGAGAUGUUGCAUGCGAUUUAUGUAAUUAUGUAUGUUGUAAUGUCUUAAGUGACCUAUGUAUCACAAUAUGGCAUGAUGAUUGGAGCCAUAUGAUUGUCAUUUUAAUGACAUGCGUGUUAACUUUGUUGUAAUACGAUUUUAUCUAGUAGCUAUGGAGAUAGAGGUGACAAAAUAGAGAUUAGGUACGGUGGUGACCAGCUUGCAAAGGAGGACCUUGACCCAUGAGGCUGUACAAAAAGACGGAGAAGAAAAGUCGAGGAAACUACUGUCACAACGGAAUUGCUGCCACAACAUCACUUUCAAGUUGCCACGACAAGCAGUUUUUAGAUAAACCUAUUUUUGGUUAAAACUGCUGCCAGAACACCAUUUUUUUCUGCUGCCACGACAAUGCUUUUGGCUGAAAUUUCGCGAAGAUGAAGAGAACUUCUCCGACUGAAGGGGCUAUACCAUAUCAUGCUGUUUUCAAUUGGCUGAGAUGUUUAUCCCUUAUUUUAGCACCAUUUUGAUUGUUAGUCGUUUUUAUUAGGGGUGAUCUCUUGCUAUAAAAUAUCAAAUAGUUGGUGUUCUCCCAAGUGUAGCACCGUCUGCAACACGUAGCUUUUCAGGGUACCACAUGUACACAUGAGUACGAAUGAUCAGUGAGGUGUAACGCAGGUGAAGGUCAGACCUCUUGUUCUCCGGCGACGCCUAGCUCUGGACUGCAAAGUGCUGUCAGAUCGUCGAUCUCGUAUGCACAAUCCGUAGAGAGAUCGUGCUUUCGAUCAUCGUUAGAGGGACGAUUGGAGGGACUUCCAGAACGAUAUACACCAACUCUUCUUCCGCUGCAACUCGGAGUUGUUAAUGAUCAAAUCUAACCUUGGAUGCAUCUUCAUAGUGAUCCUGAGUCUUGAUCCAUAGGUCGACUAUUUUGUUUUCUACUAUGUUUCCAAACAAGUCUGACAUGGCCGGGCCAUGUGGCCCCACCACAUGAUACCCAUCGAGCUGCCCAGGGACGCCCUUCAGCCACGAUGCUCAUAUAUACUCCCUGAGUGUACCCUAAUCCUAUCAGAUUUUUUUUUCAUCGCUGCACAAUGAGAUAUUCGCAAUCCGAGGUGGAGCCCUUUCUAGAUUGCUUCUCUGGUAUUUAGUGGAAUGCAAUGGGUAGUGGCCGCGGAACUGAAUGACAUAUGAGUUGAGCUCUACACCGGCUGUCCAACCUCUACUGCAGUCCAUGGUUCAUCAAUAUCUUUGAAUGCUGUCGAAAUGUAAAUGCAGUUACUCUAUCCUCCCCAUCUUUUGGGGUUCAUGCAAGAAAAUGUAGCUUUCCUCCUAUGAUUCAUUCGUAAGAAAGAGAGCCCAAUUGUGGAAGACAUGGGAAGCCAAACAGUUGGUCCAUGAUUACCGAGAGAUCAACCAAGAGAAGAAUGUCACCGUGGACCACCAACCAUGGCUUAGAAUGCAUGCCUACAAAUAUGCUCUCUUCCCACACAACUGCUACUUCUAGCAUGUUGAGCUCAGGUGCAAUGUGUAUGGUAUAUAGCCUUUGAACAAAGUCCAUGGCAAACAUCUGGCCUUUGAAGAAACGCAAUCUGAAGGAUGAGUUCAUGAACAAGAGGGUGCUCUGUCCAAGAAUUGUUCCAACCUGCACUAGAGCAUAGAGGUUNNNNNNNNNNNNNNNNNNNNNNNNNNNNNNNNNNNNNNNNNNNNNNNNNNNNNNNNNNNNNNNNNNNNNNNNNNNNNNNNNNNNNNNNNNNNNNNNNNNNNNNNNNNNNNNNNNNNNNNNNNNNNNNNNNNNNNNNNNNNNNNNNNNNNNNNNNNNNNNNNNNNNNNNNNNNNNNNNNNNNNNNNNNNNNNNNNNNNNNNNNNNNNNNNNNNNNNNNNNNNNNNNNNNNNNNNNCUAGGAAAAUUACCCGUGCGUUGCAACGGGAAUACACUAAAAAUGUUGCCAUCGCAGAAAAACAGCUGAAGAAAAGAAUAAGUACAUGUGUUUGUUUUACCUCCUCACCCGAACCGGUCACUGCAUCUUUGCCCUACAUCAUUCACAACAACAUGACAUCGCACCAUUGCCUACGAUCUUGCCAAGGAUCAGCCUGAAUUCCGAUGUCCAUCAUCACCGUGAUGCCCCUCACCCUUCACUGGGACUAUGUCAAUUACCUCCAAAAUACCUUCACCACCUAUAUGAAAUGUCAAACUGGACAAUAUUCAUUAGUACACAUUAUUAAUUCACCUAGGAAGUUUUAAAUUUAUAAACCCAGUGUGCAUUGGCUUCUAGCAAAAUUGGUCAACUGGACUGUAUGUGAGUACUUCCAAAUUUUGUUAGUCACCUGCAUGAAGCCUUCACUUUACUUAGCAAAAAGGCCCGUGCGUUGCAACGGGAGAAAAAAAUACCACAUAUUGCCCAAACAAAUAUGGUCUUAACCUAUAAACGCGUAGUUUUAAGAUUCUACAGGUGUUCUAUUUCAACACGGCUUGCAUGUAGAUUUAAUUUUACAAAGAAACGGGCAAAUGAUCAUGCAUUUAUUCAUGUCAUGUUGAGAAUGGGGUGUUAUUAUGAGUGAGUAAAGAAAAACGACAAAAUCAAACGAUCUUGUGUUGCGCAUAGUCCAACAGGCCGAGCCCAGUUCAGUUGGCGGAGGACGAUGCGGCACUGCGGCUCGUAUUGAUCUAGCCAGAACUCGCCGCCUACGGGGAGGAGCGGCUCAACAAAGGUUGUGAUGCGCGUUGUCGAACAGGCCAAUGGUGGUGCGCCGGUAGGCUACUGGUUCAUUUGCUGAUGUUGGCACCGCACCUACCAAGAAAAGGUAGGGGGAGGAAAGAGGAUGGUACCGUCGCCAGAGACGGUAAACGACGCGACAGGCUGAUGGCCAGAGGCGAGGAAGCGUUGGUGUGGUGAUUAACAUUGCAGCCUAGAUAGUAUAUUUUAAAUUGUUAACAGGUAAAAUAAUAUCAUAUAUAGAUUCUACAUAUUUUUCUAAUCAAAUUUCAUAUAUAACAUGUUAAAUUCGGAGUUACGGUUUAGAAGAUAUGAGUAUUUUAAAAAACAUUUGAUUUGAUAUGUAUUGUGGGUUUAAUAUCAUAAACAUUAGAGGGUUUUCUAUAAAAUAGCAAAACGGACUAAGAAUACCUAUUUCUUUUAUUAGUAGGUAUAGAUGAGCAUAAAACAGAGGUACGUAAUAUGCAUCUGAGUGGACUCGCCCGGCCCCCGCGUCGCUCCGCACAGGCGACACGGGAGGCGAAACUAGCAGCCACCAGCAGCCGCUCCCCUGCCGUCCUCCCCCUCGCCGCCGCCGGGGUGCGCCGCCGGUCAAAGGCCAUGUGGCAGCGGCGGCGGCGGGGCUUCGUCUUCUACAGGGUGUGGGCGCACCCGUGGCUAGUUCAUGCGGGAGCCAGCGCGGGGUUCGUUCUGCAAGCGGCGCCGGUGGUCGGGAGAUCCUCUCCUCCGGCAGGGCGGCGGAUCCGGGGCCCUCGCGCCCGGAUCUGGUGCAGUGGUGGGCGCGCGGCUGGGGAGGCCCCGUGCGGGGGGCUAGUGCGCAGCGGAGGUGUGGAUCGGCUCCGGCCGUCGCGUGGUGUGCGCGGUGAGCAUGGUGAACGUGCUCGCGUCGGAUCUGGCGCUCAGCAAUGGCCUCCGGCGGCAAGGGGCGGCUCAGGCGCGCGGCUGUGGCGAGGGGGUGGCGCGGCAUGGAUCUGGCGGGGCCGCUCGUCUUCUCCGGUGGGAUGGCAGCAGGAGCCAGCGGCGCAGAGGGGCGCAGUUGUGCUGUGCUGGGCGCUUGGCUGCUCAAGGGGUCUGGCGCCGUGGUGCUGGCAUCGAGUGCGCGUGAGCUUGGUGGUCGACGGCGGAGGUAGCUUGGCGCAGCAGGAAGGUGGAGCCGGUGGAUGUCGACCAUGGGGAUUGUGUGCUGCGCAGUGCUUCGGAUCUGCUCGGAUUCGGAGGUGUGGUGGAGCUCCGGGCGAAAGUCCAGCACUGACCAUGGGUCGGUGCCGGCAACAGCGGCGCCAUGGCCAUGGCGUCGUUCCCCUUCUUGAAGGUGUUGCCGUGGUGCUCCAUUGCAUGACUCUCCGGGAGAAAUCCCUAGCUUCGGAUGGUCGAAGCGGGCGAUGACGGCGGCUACGUCGUUUCCUUCUUUGAGGCAUCGCCUUGGAGAGUCAGCAUGUUGCAGUUUGCAUGUAUCUCUUCGUCGUUGGGGACAGUGGAAGUCGGGGCGGCGGCUCCGGAUGGUUUCUGAUUGUAUGUCGAGAUGGCAAUCUCGGGAACAAUGUGAGUGGCAGCUCUAUGAGGUGGAUCUCUAUCUCGACAUUGGUUGGGUGGAUCCUUGUCCCGCUUGGGAGGUAGGGGUGUCGGCUCGGUCGAUGCGCCCCAGAGGGGGCGGUUUGACUUUACGUCGGGGCGGCGGCCCCGGAUGUGGUGCGACGUUCGUGGUCUGCGAGCGGUUGUCCUGAGCAGCGUGGGCUGCGGGCAGCUGGGUUGUGAGGCGUUGCUGCUCGAGGGGAGCGGUGGUAUGUCGGGGCGGCGGCCCCGGAAGGCGGUGCCGGUUGAUUGCGCUGGGCGCGACGGAGCGGUGGAUGUCGGGGCGGCGGCCCCGAGAGAAUCAUUGUGGCGACCAGACUUCUGUGGCAACGAUGAUGGUGGGAGCGAUGUCGGCGACGCGGCAAUGGUUGCGGUAGUCGGCUCUUCUCCGGCGUGUCCACGGUUUUGCCUAGGUUUGCUCGUUAUUAUGCAGUCGAAGCUGCGGCGGCGGGGCCCUGUGGUGUACGAUGACUGGCUGCAGGUGGCUGUUCGGCGAUCUUCCGUGGCGCCAGCCGUGCCUGGUUUUGUUCUUCUGAGUUUUUCGUCAGAGUCGGAGCUGCGUUGUCUGGCCGCGGGUCGACUUGUAGUCGAUAAGGGUGGGCUUUGCCCUGUUUGUUUCAGUCUAUGGGAGUGGGCUUGGCCCUUGUCGUUCCAGUUUUGCCCGGUUUUCUGUAAUUAACUGAGCAAUUCUUUUCUUCUUAAUUAAUAGAUGAGGCAAUCUUUGCCUCCGUUUUGAAAAAAAUAUAUGCAUCUGAGUGUUCAACGGCUCCCAAAUUUCUCUGAACAUGUGUCAUGCAAACAUCUGAUUAUUUAGUUGUUCGACAAUCGCCCAUUGUACACGCCAUGCUCAGUAACCAUGCUACUCUGAAUGUAUGCUAUCCCGAGUGGGGAUUUCCAGUGGCAGGGCAGCACCAUGAACAUGAGGGAAGCCAGUAACACUAGAUUAUAUUCUUCAGUUUAAAGGCAGGGCAGGUGCUGACAGACUGAUUAAGCUUGGAUUGAGAAACGAAAGAGACUGGCAGGGGUGGGUGAGCAUGCAGACCUGUUGCCGAGAGUAAUUGGUGCCGGCGGAGGCCAGGAGGUCCAGCGGCAGCCGCGCUCUCCGGAGGCGGAGGAGGCUUCCUCCAGCCAUUGAAGUACGAACCUCCUACCGGUCGGCAACCAUGGCUCCGACCAGAGUCGCCCCCUCGUUGCGUGGUGGUAGCGGCGGCGAUGUGCCCCACGCGCCCUGCAAGAUGGGCCGGCCCAUGAAACACGUCAAAACAGUAAGCUAGCGCAGAAAAAAACCCCAAAAAAUAGCUUCAACGGGAGAUUCGAACUCACAUGCUUCGCGUCACAACCAAGCUCGCUAGCCACUAGACUAACACGCCUUAACUGACUAAAAAUAGCGUCGAAGACAAACUAACAUCGUCACAGCGCUAUUUGUUGCACAUAACCACGUACUAUAUCGCAUCAAUUUUUUAGAAAAAAAAAUCGUGAUUAUAAAAAGUUCAUGGAUUCUGAAAAAAGUUCAUCAUUUUUUCACAAACUUGAAAAAAGUUCAUCGAGUUUCAGAAAGUGUUCAUCAAAUUUUAAAAAAUGUUCGUAGAUUUGAAAAAAGUUCAUCAAUUUUUAAAAAAGUUCUUGGAUUUUCAAAAACUAAAUCUAAAAGUUUGAAUAAAUAUCUUCAAUUUUAAAACAGUUCAUAGAAUUUUGAAAAAAAGUCUAUUGAAUUUUGAAAAAAAGUUCAUUGAAUUUAAAAAAAGUUCACAAAAUCUGAAAAAGAUCAUUGAAUUUGAAAAAAAGUUCAGCAAUUUGAAGAAAAAGUUCACGAAUUAUUAAAAAAAUCAUCAGGCCAGGAAGAAGAAAAACAAAAAUAAAUAAGUAACAGAAACGAAAAACGAAAAAACAGAAACAAAAAAACAAAAGAGCAAAAAAGCAAAAAGGAAAGAUGUCAUAAGAAAAUACGUAAAUGGACGUUAGUAAUCAGGUUGCGGGUUGUGGCGCAGUGGUAAAUGCCUGUCGACUCGAAGUGUUGGUCCCGAGUUUGAUACCCAGGUUGAGUGCUCUUUUUUGUGUCUACAGAACAAAAAGGAAAAAAAUGUGUGAUAGUGAGAUGGGUCGGCCCAGCUCGAGGCGCUGCAGGUGCCCGUUUGCAGAAUUACACAUUAACGGGCGCCUGCAGCGCCAAAUAGGAAAUGCCCUACGAGCCGAGGAGACACCACGCGACCGACCCUUUUGGGUUGGGCUGAUGUCCGGGCCUUGGAAUGUUGAUGUGGGCGGGCCCAAACACAGAAGCGCAAUUUUCACGACCAAGUAGGACGACACUGGACUCAUGGAGGGUAUAAGUGAGAGUGGCGAUAGAGCACACGAGCUCGCUUGCUCCUGCUAGGUGGACCAAUGGAACAUCGUGAUGUUGGAGCUAGCAUUCAAUGGUUGCGGAACACAUGGGUGAGUUUACGCAGAGAAAAGGCAGGCAUGUGGACGUGGGCCUGUAUGAUGAAGCAACGACGUGGGUGGGUGUAGUAACGGAGACGUAACGAUGUUCAGUCGCUACAGGAUGAAGCACACUUUUUUUGAGUUGGGAUGCAACACUUCGUGUGUAAAACAAGUUAGUUUGGAGCGAACACACUUCCUCUAAAACCGAUUUUUUAACAGGGAAAACUAAAAUAAGUUAGCAACACACUUCGGAAAAAAGCUAGUGGGGGGAACACUCUAUUAUUAUUUAUCUUUUGCGGUUUUAUUUACAUUUUAUUUUUUAUUUUUCUAUUCUUUUUGGUAAAUUGCAUGCGCUAAAAAAUAUAAAUAGUGGACGUACGUUAAAGAGUGGAUAUAAAAAAUUUCAUGCAUAUUUGAAAAAAUAUGUUUAUAUGUGUGUGAAAAAUAACUGCCGCGUGGCAUAUCCUAAGGAGAACGCCAUGAGCGGGCGAGCUCAUGCGCUCCUGUGACCAUUCGGAUAUAAAUACAUUUGAACUACAUGUAUAAACAAAUUGCCUCUCUAGCACAAUGACAAGUAGUUGUCUUGCCAAAAGAUCUCAUCAGUUCUCGACUUUCAUAAGUUAUGAUGGCUUUCGAUACUCUGUACAUGUUCAGAUUCGAGCACCGACCGAACAAUCUUAUAUCAUGUGCUACCAAACAUUAAUUGCUCUCAUGCUACCAUUUUUUUAAUCCAUGCUUAAAAAAUUAAAACAAUUGUGUGUACUUACAAUGUGUAGGAAUCUCAAGUUAAAAAACAAAAUACACAUGUAGAAACAAAAACGGCAAAUCCGAAUGUGAACAGUGUCAUUUUAUCUUUUGUCUUUUAGUGAUACUGUCAGGAUGAAUUUGUCUUUUUUGUUUCACAAUGUGUAUUUAAAAAAAAUAUUUGAAAUUUUUACAUAUUGUAGACACAUGUCUUGUGAACACUCAUACUAAUUAUUUUCAGAAUUUUUUGAAACACAUAUUUUUUUUGAAAAAUGAUAUCAUGGGAGCACCUAAUGUGUGAUAGAACCUGAUAUUCUCGGCAUCUUAAAAGAUUGUCUCAGAAAAAAAAACUUGUGAUUAAAAGAAGCUAGCAACACACUUCCUCUGAAAAAGGAAAAGGCUGGAAACGCACUAUGUAAAAAAGUGCGAGCAUGCUCCGUUACUACUUUUCAUCUGUGUUUCUAUUUUUUUUACAUUUUUUGGUUUUCUUCAAUCUUUUUGUGUUAAAAAUGUUCAUGCACGUCAAAAAAUGGUCAUGGAUAUAAAAAUAUUCAUGUCUAUUUAAACUUUUCUUGUAUAUUAAAAUCUGGCCCUUUUUUAUUAAAAAGGGCAUCUUGUUUUCACAAAAUUUCAUCGUUCAAAUAAAAAAAUCAACCAUAAAAAUUAUUCAUAGUGUAUUUAUAAAGUACUCAUCGUGUAAUUAAAAACAUCAUAAUGCGUUAACACUUUGUAUACAAGGUCCAUCAUGCACUUUUUUAAACACCGUGUGUCAAUUCAACAAAACAUGUUGAUUGUGUAUUAAAAAUGUUCAUCACAUAUAUUAAAAAUUGAUGGUCGUGUCACAAAAAGUGCUCAUGUAUGUAUCAUAAAAUGUAUGUAUUUUUUCAGUUGGAACCUGUUUAUUGGGAUUACGGUACCGACUUUCAGCAUACAUUAUUCAACAUUUGAAUCCAGGCUAGGGGCAGUAAAGCGUACACUAUCACAACCUGCCGUCACGGCACUGUCUCACUCCGUCAACUCGAUCAUGCCCAGUAGAGUGCGCGCACGGUUCCCUAUGUGUAUAGUACAAACUAGCAUUCCUACUACCAUAAAUGGUGUUGCCACGAGACGUUGUGCCAUUGAUCCACAUAGCAGGAUCAGGCGAGCCCGUCCACGCCAAGGAGUUUUCGCCUACCAAACUUCAUAUCUUCGCUUGGAGAUUGGCUCGGGCGUCCCUGCCAACGGGCCAAGAGCGUGUGAGGAGGCACAUGACAAACGGUGCUACUUGUCCGAUAUGUUCGGCGGUCUUGGGCUCAUGGAGGCAUGCAUUGCUUGAUUGUAACAUGGUCAAAAGUGUGUGGUCUCUCCGAGAUGAUGAUGCACUGCUACCGGUAUAUGGCGACGAGACACCGGACCCUAAGCUUUGGCUUUUUAGUCUGUGUAACACACUGAGCACGGAUAAUUUUGUCUCGGUCCUAGCUACGUUAUGGGCGAUCUGAUGUGCGAGAAGGAAGGCCAUCCAUGAACAUGAGUUUCAGAGUCCAUUGUCGACACACUUGUUCAUUGAGCGGCACAUGCAGGAGUUGCAGGAACUUUCGAAGCGACUUACUCUGGCCGAUGCGUCGCAUUGAAGCGGGUUGACCGCCCCUUCGCCUGGCCUGGCCGCGGCUAUAUAAAUCAUGCUCCAGCAAAGCACAGAGCCGCAAUCCCCCUCCCCGAACACCGCCGCACUACGCCUCUACGUCACCCACCUCGCGGAGCCCCUUCCUCCUCUCCGAUCCCAAAGGUGGUGCCGAAGUCAUGGUGCUCCGCGCCUACAGGCGGCGUCGACCGGCGGUCUUACUCCGGUGAUUCUUGGUGCUGGCGUCGUCGCUCUUUUGGACCUUCGGCAUCCACGGCGGCCGGCUCCUCUGUCAAGGAGGAGAUCGUCAUCUCCUCCGGUGACGAGAAGGACCAGGCGCCGCCACCGCAGCCGCCCCGACUCCUCAAGGAGGCCACUCAGACGGACGAAGAUUUGUCUGUCAGAUUGAGAUAAUGACGGAGCGGUCGCUCUGGUACAUGUGCCUGUCGACUCUAUCGCUGGCGCACGUCAAGGAGGUGCCGCCAUCCCCGCAGAGCCACCGCGUGAAGCUCGAGCCGACCUCCCUGCUCUGGCCUGUGAAGGAGGGGUUGGCCUCGCCCCAGCAGCACCGCGCGUCUAGAUUGUACACUGCGUGAAGGAGGAGACGGCCUCACCCCGCACCACCACCGCGGCGACCAGAUCCGACACCGGGUCCCCACCUCGCAGCCGAUAUGGCCGCAUGGACGCGUCAUCAUUGCCACCGCACUGCCAUCGCCUCACCGUCAAGGAGGAAUUGUCGCCCGUGAUCAAGAAGGCGCAGGGCCGCCACCUCCACUACCUCGGAGGAGGCGGUUAUGGAGGUGCCUCGGGCUCGAGGGUCGUCGUCUCCGAGGAGGAGCGCGUGGCGAGGCAUCACGCGAGGUACGACAAGCGCAAUGGCCGGUCGCGGCUCCACAUUCGCUACGUGGCGCCGGACUGGGUCCGUAAUGACCCUGACCUCGCCGCCGCGUGGGCGCUUGACCGCUCUGUGACCAUUGUAGAGAAGGUCAACAGGUGCUGUCACCGUCUUGACGGCGAGGUCGCGAAGACCGACGAGGAGUGGUCGCUUAGUGACUGCUCCACCGACACCAGGCGCGGCAAGGCAGCCGUCAGGGCUCCGAAGGCCACGUCGGCAAUGGCAGCGGCGACACUCUGCACUGUAUAGCAGGAGGCGGAGCGGCUCCUCUGCGAGCGGCAGGCUGCCGCCGGACAAGGUGGGCCCUCUGGUGUCGUUGCGCCGCUGGAGGGACCACAACGACAAUGGCACCAAUGGAGACGGUGGUGCUGCAGGGCAGGGCGGCCACGCGUACGAGGUGGUCGUCCGGUAUAGUGUUUAUGUCUUUUUAUGUUUUAAACAAUUGAAAUAUCGACCAUUUAUGUAAAUUAUAUCCGAACUUCUAUGAAAUCUGUCCGGUUUGAACAAAUUUCAUCCAAUUUGUUUGCAUUGUUGGCUGGAUGUAUGCGGGCACCGUUGGAUGGUGGCAACCCGCAUCCGUGUCUGCGGAUGGAUGCAUGAGGAAAUUUGUGGGUUGCCGUUGAAGAUGCCCUAACAUCAAAGCUUCAUUUUUACUUAAUUGAAUCAAAUACAACAUUACAGUAACAACAACUUCAGUUUUACUUAACUGAAUCUAAUAGAACAUGGCACUGACACUAAGUACAACACUGCAAGAUAUACACAAACUGCAUCCGCAACACCGACACUUUAACAGAAGCAACUAUAACUAUAAGUUAACUGAAUGUAUAGCACUAAACUGACAAGAACAAUAAACUAAUCCCAAUAAACUUCAACACAUAAUAGCAUUGCCAAUGCACUAACCAUGACAGUUCAAUAAAAAAUGGACUGACUUAAUUGACAAAAAUAAAUACCAACCAUUAAUCUAAACACAGAAAUACAUUUCAUGUAAUCCAAAACUAAGUGGAUAGCACAAACCUGCACCGCACAGCCAUAUAACCUCCUACUAGUGUGGAUCCCUUGAAAUGCAACAUAUUUCGAACAUGGGGCCAGGUGAAGCCUGCAGUUGAUGCUUAGAUCUAUAAAUUUACCAAUUAGCACGCAAAGAUGCAUCUAUGGUUGUGUCAGGGUUCUCCAACAUUUUCAGAGCACACAUGAACCCUAACCCUAGGUAAAAAGCACAACACUUACCCAGAGCUCCAUGUCCAUGACGACGAACUCGUCCUUGCUGCUCUCCUCUACAUCCUUCCACGAUGGCAUUGCUGAACAGCGGCGAGGAGACAGUGCCUCUUGCGCGACGGCGAGGAGCUCGGCAGCGACAACAAGGGAGAGCAGAGCAAAGAGAGAGCCAGUGGAGUGGGGGAGGAGAUACCGUCACCCCUGUUUUGUACCACGGUGCGACUUAACGGCCGUCAACCCCGUCGCCGUCUGACUUGUCCGACGUGGCACUGACCAGUGGCCCAACCGUGUUAGAAAUCAUGGUUAACUGGCUCAAAUCAGUCAUUUGUGUUUAUUGAAAAAGUUAGCAAGAAGGUAGAUUUUUGGGACACGCGAGAAAUGUGGUGACAAAUCCGGAUGUUAACAAGAAAUGUGGUUGUUUUUUGCAAUUCACUAAGCGAAUAAUUGAUGAAUUAUGUACUCUGAUGUAUCAAAAUGCCGUUCAAUGAAAUAAAGAAGCAAUGAAAUUUGUUUCGGUGGCUGAAAAUGAAAUGUAAAUGACAAUUUUUUUACUCUGUUAUAUUUAGGGAAUCGACUAGGUCCGAUCAAAAUUUAAUGAAGUAAAUAUACUCCACUAAGUUACUUCAUUGUUUUACUCCUCUAUUUUUAAGGGAACGACUAGAGUUAGCCUAAGAGGUUCAGAUUUGUGAAGCAACUAAAGCACAUCAGCAGCCAGAAGCAGAGGCGGAGCCAGGAUUUGGACAUGAGGGGGGCGAAAAGCUAAAACCAUUUCUUAUUCAUUUUAAUUCAUCUGAAGUUCCGUCUACCAUAUACAUAACAUUAUUAGUAUAAUUGUUCUUCUCUAAUUCGUUUCUGAACUUUUCGAGAAAGAAACUUAAGAAUUUCUUUUUGCACGAUAUGUAGGUAUAGUUCGCAUAGACAACAUCAUUUAUUUGCUAUAAUAAGGCAACAACUUCAAUGGUUCGAGAAAAUAAAUAAGCCAACAGCUUCAGCAGUUCAAGAAGAUUACUUUGAUUUGUAGAUUGUGGAGAUUCAUCGUUAUCUCUAUAAGCACAAUCUUCAAAUGUUAACACCUCAUGAAAUCAUCAAGAAAAGAAAUUGUUACUUUUUACUAAAGUAUAUUAUAUAUGUUGUCAUUCUCAAAAUAGAAUAAUCUUUCGUACUUGAUGGAAUUAAUUGUACUUUAAGCUUCAGUUGCUUGUACAACCAUAUUUGCAGCUGUUUGUACAAUUGCUCUCCAAAAUAUAAAAUGAUAAUGUAUGGAUAUUCUCUGAGGCAAGGUUGAUAAGUACCUUCCAGAAUAUAAAAGGGUUGUGCUUGUUCGUUCUUAUUAAUAGGGAGUUCCCAAAUUUGUUGGAGCUUACUGGGUCACUCUCAUAAGUUGUGCUUCCAAUUCUACAUUGUUCUGCGACUUCCAUCGACGCCACAACCUCUUGAUCAGCGAUAUUGUUAUUUGCAAUAGGUUCCUCCUCAUAUGGAUUUACAUUUUCGACACCAGUAAUGUUGGAGGUUGAAGUCGAAGAAAUUGGCUUGAAAAAAGAAUUUAUCCCCUUAAUUGUUGGUGCCUUUUGUUUCAUCUUUGACUACUAUAGCAAAAAAAACUUGAUUAAUAGAUUAAUGACCUUAAUUACACAUAAUACCAAUUGACCAAACUAAGAUUGUAUAAUUCAAAACAGAAAUCUUAAUACCUUCUUCCUCUAUCUGAUCUCUCGAUGUUUAGCCGUGCUCUGAUCUGUAUGUAGCCUACAUUUGACACCGGAGAGGACACUGUAAAUCAACCGAUGGCGUCGUCAUGAUGAGCGGGCAGCGGCAAUGGUAGACACAGAUAGGCACGAGCGGCGACCGGCGGCGGCGCUGGCAGCGGAAAAAAGACGCCCUAGGGCAGAACAUACAUGUACGCACGUUCAGAUAAUCGAUGAAAAGAGUAGUUUUUUUUGUUUAGGAAAGUCAAAAGAGUAGCUAGCCAGGCCACCACGUACAUGCCUACGUGGGCCAUUGGGCUUUGGCUUCCGAUAAUUUGUGUAGCCAGUUCAAUUAAUAAUUUGUAUGCGGGCUAACCAUGCAAUUAGCUCCGGCCAAUUAGCACACAUAGUAUAGUACCUGUUACAAAUCAUUGAGGGGGGCGAGCGAUUGGCAGGGGUCUAGCCCCUGCUCGCCCCUCCCUGUCUCCGCCCCUGGCCAGAAGUCCACAUAUAGUAUGGAAAUUGUUUGGCCACCUCACCCCUACGGUCCAUACCCCAUAGGUUUCCUCUUUAUCACUAAGGGGAAAGUGAGACCAUGACUAAGCUUGGAUCGAGAUAGAUACGAGACAGGUGAGGAUAGAUGAACCGCCGAUGGCAAGGAGGGUUCGGCGGCCUGCAACGGCAGCUGCGCUCUUCGGCCAUGGACGCACGCCCCCUCUACCCGUCGGCAACCGUGGGGCUCCGACCAGAGUCGCCGCCUCGUUGCAUCCGUUCUUCAGGAGCGGCAGCGCUAGCGGGAGCUCCUGUUCAGCGCCUUAAAACAGUUCAUCGAUUCAGAGAAAAAGUUCAUCAUUUCUGAAGAACAGUUCACAAACUUAAAAUAGUUCAUCGAUUUUGAAAAAAGUUUAUGAAAGGGCAAAAAAGUGGGUACUCCAGGAUUCGAACUCACAGAGCAUGAUCUUCAUACGAGUUUAGGUAACCAAUACAUUAAACACCUGUGGCUAAUAAUAGUUGUAACAAAAGAAGAACAAGUGUGGCAACGCAAUUUAUUUCUCACUUGGACUUUUUAUUUAUUUUAAAAAAUCAUGAAUUUGAAUAAGUUUCAUCAAUUUUGAGACAAAGUUCAUCACUUUUGAAGAAAAGUUCAGAACCUUAAAAACAGUUCAUCGAUUCAGAGAAAAAGUUCAUCAUUUCUGAAGAACAGUUCACAAACUUAAAAUAGUUCAUUGAUUUUGAAAAAGUUUAUGAAAAAGUGAAAAGUGUUCAUCUUUUUAAAUAAGAGUUCGUCAAUUAAAAAAAACAUAAAUAUUGGAAAAAGUUAACCGAGUUUGAAAAAUAGAUCAUUGAUUUUUAAAAGUUCACAAACUUGAAGAAAAUCAUCAAUUUUGAAAAAAAGUCAUCAAAUUUUAAAAAAAUUUCAUGAUUUCAAAAAAAGAGUUAUCAAAUUUGAAAAAAAUAAUUUUGAAAUAGUUCAUCGAAUUCGAAAAAAUUUCAUGAAUUGGAAAGAAAUUUUAUAAUUUGAAAAAAAUCAUUAAUUUGAACAAAUUUAAUCAAUAUUAAAGAAAAGUUAGCAAAUUUGAAAAAAAUCAUCAAAGUUGAAAAAAGUUCGUCAAUUUUGGAUUUUUUUGACAGAUUUGAAAAAAGUUUAUCAAACACAGAAGAAGGAAAAAGAGAAAAGAAAACUGAAAAAGGGAAACAAAAAAAAGGAAAAACGAAAAAUGGAAAAAAAUUAGAAGAUAAGAUGAGAGAAAAACGAAAAUAGAACAAAAAAGGUAAGAUGAAGAAGCGAUGGAAUUAAACACAUGAAGUUCGCGAGGCGGGUGGUUACAGGCUUACAGCAUUGUGACUUUGUAAAAAGUAAAAAUUGAGCCGACGCUGCUCGAGAAGCCCACCACCAUCCCUAGCCGGAUGGCCCAAAUUCACCCAAGUACAAGUAAGCGGGUGAACUGUGAGCUACUGAGCCAGCCUCCACCACCACCAGAGAGGCAGAGACCAGACCACUGUGAGCGGAGGCUUCCCGGGAGCGGAAGUAUUGGAAUGAGUCUGCAGGCCCACGUACUUCUCCAACUAAUCACGACCGGCAUGCCUCUGCCUGCCUCCUAGCUUCUAGGGUAGAUAGUGGGAGUCUGUUAGUUGGUUAGACAAGUACGGGUGUGCGUUGUGGUGUUGUACUCUGUAUAUAUAUGAGCUGAAGAUCAAUACAAACUGUGCGUUCAGUCUCUACAUGGUAUCAGAUACUUCCACGAUCUCCUUCCUCGCUUCCGCCCCUCGAUGGAUUUCUCUGACCUCUCCUCCGCCGGCUCCGGCUCCGGCUCCGGCCCCGGCACAAACCCCUUCGGCGAUCCACCCUCUGCCAGCCCCUCCGUGCCUCUCCACCUCAUCCUCUCUCUCAACAUAGCCUCCGCCGUGCCCGUCACCCUUGAGCUGCACCCCCCGAACUACACCACCUGGAGCUCCUUCCUCCAUGCCCUUCUCAUGUCCUACAACAUCCAGGACCAUGUCAAUGGCACUGUCGACGCCCGGAACCGGCUCACCGACGCCGUCUGGACGCAGGUCGACUGGUGUAUCAUCCGAUGGCUUCUCGGCUCCAUCUCCGCCCAAGUUCGGGGCGCGGUCAGCCACCGGAACCCCACGGCGUACACGCUCUGGACGGCGAGCCGGUAGCUCUUCCUCUCCAAUCGGAAUCAGCAGGGCAUUCUCGCUCUGGAGGAGUUCCACGGCCUGCAUCAAAACGACCUCUCCAUCACCGAUUACUUCACCCGCCUCCAGACCCUCGCCGACACGCUCUUCGACUGCGGGAUGGCGGUGACCGACCGCGGCCUCGUCUCCAACAUGAUCCGCGGGCUCUCCAACAAGUUUGCCCACGCCAUCUCUACCAUGACGUACGACGAUUCCAAGCUGCCCACGUUCCUGCAAGCACGCACUUAUCUUCUCCAGGAAGAGCGCCGCAUCGAUCACGCCGCCUCCCACGAGUCCGCGACUGCGCUCUACGCCGGGCGCCUUCUGCCUCCACCGCCUGCUACCACUUCUGCUCCGCCAUCUGCUGUGCCCUACCCAUCUAGUGGCAACGGCGCCCAUGGCGUCCCAGGCGGCGCCAGUGGUCAUGCGGGCAACGGCGGCGGGCAGCGCGGCCGCAAGCGCCGCAAGGGCGGCAACGGCGGCGGCCAAGGUGGCCAUGGCGGGCCCCCUCCACCACAGGCUGCGCCACCUCUGCCUGCGUACGCGCCGCGUCCGCCCUCCUACGGCCACGCCGGCGUCAACCCCUGGACCGGCACGUUCAAUGCAUGGCCCAUAACGAUGCGCCCAUCUGCUACACCUACGGCUGGUCUGCUCGGCCCUCGUCCUCCGCUUGGGCUCGCCGCGACAACCUACGGCGCCGGCCCGCCUACUGCACUUGUGCCACCGGCCGCCGCACCGGUCCCGUGGGACACCAGCGCCCUUCAGGCCGCCCUUCUCGCCAUGCAGCAGCAGCCCUACUCCGGUGGCGGUGACUGGAUCCUCGACACCGGUGCGUCGUCGCAUAUGGCAGGCAACCCCGGUAUGAUCUCGGCUGUCCGGCCCUCCUCCUCCCCAUCUCAUAUUCUAGUUGGCAACGGUGCCCCUCUUCCUGUCACCCACACUGGCUCCACAUCCAUCGCCACCUCUUCCACUCCUCUCUCUCUUAGUCAUAUUCUGAUUUCUCCUUCUCUCAUCAAAAACUUGAUCUCUGUUUGCGCACUUACUCGUGAAAAUUUUGUGUCCGUGACAUUUGACCCUUUUGGUUUCUCUGUUAAGGACCUUCGCACUGGGACGGUGGUGCUCCGAUGUAAUAGCGGCGGCGAUCUUUAUCAUCUCACCUCCGGCGCUACUGCUUCUCCCACUGCUUUUGUCGCCCUCACAGCCGAUUUAUGGCACCAAAGGCUUGGACAUCCCGGACGCGCUGCUUUAUCACAUGUUUUAGACAACCUUGAUUUCCAUUGUAAUAAAGCUACAUCUCAUACUUGCCAUGCCUGUCAGCUAGCCAAACAUGUACGCUUGCCUUUUAGUGAAUCCAAUAAUAUUGCGCCGUUCCCCUUCCAUACGCUCCAUUGUGAUGUGUGGACUGCCCCGGUACUUAGUAACUCUGGGUUUCAGUAUUUCCUCGUUGUUCUUGAUGAUCACACACAUUUUGCCUGGACGUUUCCUCUCCGGCGUAAGUCUGAUGUUUUUGAGGUGUUGAUUACAUUUCAUGCGUAUGUCGCCACACAAUUCCAACGACCCAUCCUCUCCUUCCACACCGACAAUGGUCGUGAAUUCGACAAUAAAGCGUUUCGCCACUUUCUCUCCACCCACGGUGUUGUCUUCCACCUCACUUGCCCCUACACCUCUCAACAAAACGGACGUGCCGAGCGGAUCAUCCGAACUCUCACCGAGGGCCUGCGUAGCCUCCUUUUCCACUCUACCACGCCUACUAGAUUUUGGCCCGACGCCCUCGCCACCACAACCUAUCUUCUCAACCUGCGCCCUUGCCGGCCUCACCAACAUGUCACACCUUUUGAGCUCCUCUACGGAAAAACCCCAUCCUAUUCCCACCUACGAGUCUUUGGAUGCCUCUGUUACCCUAACACUACAGCCACGGCUCCCAAUAAACUCUCCCCUCGAUCUAAGGCGUGCGUAUUUCUGGGCUACCCUCCUGAUCAUGCUGGUUACAAGUGCUUCGACCCCACCACAGGCCGGAUCAUCAUAUCACGUCACGUUUUUUUCGACGAGCACUCGUUCCCGUUUGCGCAGGUCCCGGCGCCUCCCUCUGCGUCCAACCGAGUCCUCACCAGGGAUACCUCGCCGCCACUACUCCUCGCCGGGUCGCCGCGUCGGCCGCCUGCUGCUCCGACACCCUCGGCUACCGCGGCGGCGCACCCUGGAUCGGCUGCCAUGGCAGCAAAUUCCGCUGCCUCGGCAGCGACUACUGCUGCCACGACAGCAGUUUCGUCGCCCGGGUCGGCUGCAGCUCGUGCGUCGCCCAGGACGGCUGCCAUGACAGCAGAUUCGGCCGCCUCGGCGGCGACUUGUGCUGCCACGGCAGCAGUUUCGCCCGGCACAGCUGCAGAAACGCCUGCACCUUCUCCGUCGAGCGCGACCAGUGGCUGCAGCUCCCCUGUGGUCUUCGCCGGUGGCUCUACCCCACCACCGCCGCCCGGCCGUGCUCAUCCCAUGCUGACACGGGCUCGCGCGGGCAUCACUCGCCGCAAUACGCAGUACGAUGACGACUACAUUCUCACUGCCACCGUACCUUCUCCGUCACCUGUUCCCACGUCGGUUCGAGCAGCCCUCGCGGAUGCUCACUGGCGACAGGCCAUGCAGGGGGAAUUUGACGCCCUCCGCGCCAACGCUACCUGGACCUUGGUUCCUCGGCCGCCCGGUGCCCACGUCAUCUCCGGCAAGUGGAUUUUCCGCCACAAGCUGCAUCCCGACGGCACAUUGGAUCGGUACAAGGCGCGGUGGGUCGUUCGUGGCUUCACCCAGCGUCACGGCAUCGACUACCACAACACCUCGCCCGUCGUCAAGCCGGCGUCCAUCCGCAUCGUCCUCCAGCUCGCCGCCUCUCGGAAUUGGCCCGUCCACCAGCUUGACGUUAAAAACGCCUUUCUCCACGGUGAGCUAACCGAGCAUGUCUAUUGUCAGCAGCCUGCGGGUUUCCUCGACGAGGCACGCCCACAUGAUGUGUACCUUCUAUCCAAGUCGCUCUACGGCCUCAAGCAAGCUCCACGCGCUUGGUUCACGAAGAUCACCACCUGUCUACGGACCAUUGGGUUCAUGGCGACUCGCUCCGAUGCGUCGCUCUUUGUCUAUCGUCAAGGCCACGACAUCGCCUACCUGCUACUCUACGUCGACGACAUCGUCCUCGCCGCCUCGUCAGACGUACUACUCCGCCGUGUCAUCGCGCAACUCACCGCCACCAUCGCGCUAAAGGACUUGGGCGCGCUGCACUUCUUCCUCGGCAUCCAAGUGCGGCGCACCUCGGCGGGGUUCUUUCUUCAUCAACAUCAGUACGCUGAGGACCUGCUGCAUCGUGCUGGCAUGACCAACUGUAGGCCAGCCUCAACUCCGGUCGACACGCGGUCCAAGCUCUCUGUCUCCGAUGGAGAACUUGCCGAUGAUGCCACCACAUACCGCAGUAUCACCGGUGCACUGCAGUAUCUCACGUUGACGCGCCCGGAUCUUACUUAUGCUGUUCAGCAGGUGUGCUUACACAUGCACGCUCCUCGGCAGCCCCAUUGGUCCAUGGUGAAGCGCAUCCUUCGCUAUGUCCGCGGGACGGUCAGCCACGGCAUCACCAUCAGCUCCUCACCGCCGCAUGAGCUCGUCGCUUACAGUGACGCCGACUGGGCCGGUUGCCCCGACACACGAUGUUCCACCUCUGGUUAUUGCCUGUUUCUUGGUGGCUCGCUCAUCUCUUGGUCGCCCAAGAGGCAACCCACUGUGUCCAGGUCCAGUGCAGAGGCAGAGUACCGCGUUGUGGCCAAUGCUGUUGGACACAACAGCUUCUCCAGGAGCUUCACUCCAGCAUCUACAAAGCCACAGUUGUUUACUGUGACAAUGUGUCGGCCGUCUACCUCGCUCAGAAUCCUAUACAUCACCGCCGGACCAAGCACAUCGAACUCGACAUCCACUUUGUUCGUGAAAAGGUUGCUCUUGGUCAGUUUCGCGUCCUGCAUGUGCCGACCACCUCGCAGUUCGCCGACAUCAUGACCAAAGGGCUGCCGACCGCCACGUUUGAGGAGUAUUGGAAUGAGUCUGCAGGCCCACGUACUUCUCCAACUAAUCACGACCGGCAUGCCUCUGCCUGCCUCCUAGCUUCUAGGGUAGAUAGUGGGAGUCUGUUAGUUGGUUAGACAAGUACGGGUGUGCGUUGUGGUGUUGUACUCUGUAUAUAUAUGAGCUGAAGAUCAAUACAAACUGUGCGUUCAGUCUCUACAGGAAGCGAAGGCGAGCCACCGCCGCCGCCUACCGCCGGGGAAGCUGUCGGCGUCAGACAGCAGACGCAUCGCCGUGGCCGAUCUCCACCGCCCGCUCUCUCCGCAAGGCCUGCUCCCCCUCCCCCCCUUCUCCAUUCUAGUGUAAACCCUAGAUAGAUCCAUUCUUCUUUUGUUCAUCUAAUCUGUUAUUAAGCAUUUGUCUCUUGCUUAGCACUUCUGCCUGUGGACUCCAUGCAUUUUUCUUUUACCAUUGGCAGGGUUAGAUUCACUCCAGUUCAUGAUAUGUAGAUGGAUGUCAUGUCAGGGCGUACUAUGUUUUUUUAGCAGAAAGCAGAGUGUUUCGUGUGCAAUGUGCCUCGCGAAACAAUGGAAUGUAGCACGCUUAACUGUUUUAGCGUAAUGAGCGUGUGUCGUUUCUAUCGGACAUUGUUGUGGCUAGAGUACCCGACAAUGUCCUUUUCACUCUCAAGUCUACUCUUCUGAAGAUGUAUGACUGUAUGAGUCCUCUGAAGAAGUUUUGGCUGCAGGGAGGCACCAGUCAAAGCAAGUUUCUAUUUUCAGCGUAUUAUUGGGUUUCUACUAUCUUGAGCAUCAAAAUCAGCUGAUGAGUUGGAUUGUGGCAGUCCAGGAAUCAUACACUGUAAUGGGCUAGAUGUGCCCGAGGGAGUGCUUGCUUUCUACUCAUGUUCAGCUCUGGGCCGCGUAAGAAUGGUGACGGUGUAGCCCAUCAUGGUUCCUUGGUGCCUUGUGGGUGCUCUUAUUUUUUUGUUUGUUUCGCAUUUGUAGUCUCAAUGAUUUCCCCUCAUGAAACUUGAGGCUUCCCCCCUGAAUCCAAUAGCAGUAACGAAAUAUUUCACCCAAAGCCCCCAAAUAAAAUUACAUAUCUGUACAAGAGCAUGACAAGUCUUGAUACAGGGCAUAUAUUAGACCUGAAAAAUAGAAUAUGCAUGGUUCUAGCUAGCUAUCCAUCCUUUUUAUUUUUCGUUUCUUCGUCGGCUAAUCUUUCUAAUUUGUUUCUUUGAAUUUAUUGUGUUUUGCAGGGAGUUUGGCACAAUGCAAAGCCAUAGCAAAGUGCGUAUUGCCUCUGCAUCCGCACAACCUGCUGUGCUCAGGCUCCAUGGUUGGGCAGACCUUCCAGAUGGCCCGCUAAGCUCCAUUCUUGCACUGUCAGGGUCCUUCCGUGAUGUUCUUGCCUUCGCGGCAACAUGCCGCUCUUGGCGUGCGGCAUUCUCCUCAUUACAAGUUUUACAGUAGUUGGCAUUUUUUGGAGCCGUUCGUUUGUCUCGAUCUAACGGCGCAUACAUACGUAGUACUCGAAAGUACUAUUAGUCUAGGGGCAUUUUAGUCCUAAGAAAUAUAUGACAAGGUGGGGCCCUCUCGUCCAAUGCAAAACCGCCGCCCCUCUCCUCCAAUGCAAAACCGCCGCCCCUCUCGUCCAAUGCAAAGCCGCCGCCAUGCUCCUUCCCCUCUUCCAUCACCAUUGCAACCGCGGCCAUCUCCUAGCCUUCUCCUCCUUCUCGCGGCCGCAACUUUGCUCUUCUCAUCUUCCACAUCCACCCCCCUCUUCCAUCCACGCAAGAUCCUCGAUGGAGCAGCAGAUCGAGUACAUCGGCGGCGGCGAGAACGCCGACUUCGUGGAGAUCGCCGGCGGCGACCAGGUCAAGAUGGCCAGGUUGACGAAGAUCCGUUCUUGGUUUCACAACAUAUUGCAGAUGAACUGGACGGCAAUGGCCACUUUGAAGCAAAUGACGAGGAGGGAGAGGGCAAAGCUUUCCCCCCCACCCGCACAACCGAUGCACAAGGUCGAGAUCCUCCUCUGGGCGAUGGAGCAGGCCGAUUCGUCUAGCCCGUGGACCAGGUGUAGGUGGUGGGCGUUCAGAUCCAGGGUAGAGCAUCCACUGGAUCAGGAACCCACGGUGCACGAGGUGCCGUUGCAGAUUGUGGAGCCUCCAACCGAGUUGGAGAUGACUCCGAAGCGCAAGAGGAGGAGGACAGUGGUCGCGACAUCGCUUCCCCGCCGUUCUCCACGCUUCCCUCGCCGCUCUCCUUGUCUGAACGGCGGCCGUAGCUAUGUUUAGGGUAAGAUUGAUGAAUUUCAUUCUAUCAUUACUUGCCACUUGCUUAAUUUGAUUCUCUGCAAUAUGUUCUCGCUACCUGUGUACUUGAAUCCGUAGCCUCUGGAUGGCAGCUUAGUUUGAUCGACGAGGCUGUAAUGAGUCUAGGCAUAUAGCAUUGCUAUGUUUACUUGCUACAUUUUGAUGUGCUGGAGUUGUAUCCAUGAUAGGAAAUUUUGUCUGUCACCUCAAGAGUUGUGUUCAAAUUACGUGAUGCAAUCUGUGUAAAUUGAACUUGCAAUAUUUUGGCUGCAAGCAGUGCCUCCAGAAAAGUUCAGUACACAGUUUAGAGUGAUAGACUCUGGGUUGACACUGAAAUAUUUCAAUACUGCAAGUUUAGUAGAUAGUUGUAGGCAUUGAAAUAUUUCAGUACUGACAGGUUCACACUGAAAUAUUUGAGUAGUGCAAUUGCAGUACACACGGGUACACACUGAAAAAUUUCAGUAGUGCAAUGCAAUUUGAGUACACACGGGUAGACACUGAAUAUUUCAGUACUGUAGUUUCAGUACACGCACGCAACCCCAGAAAUAUUUCGGUGUAGCAGUUUCAGUACACGCGCAUAGCCACUGAAAUAUUUUGGUGGUGCUGUUUCAGUACAAGCACGUAGCCUCUGAAAUAUUUCGGUGGUGCACUUUCAGUACAUGCACGUACCCACUGAAAUAUUUCAGUGGUUCACUUUCAGUACACGCACGUACGAAAUGAAAUAUUUUAGUGGUGCUGUUUCAGUACACGCAUGUAGCAACUGAAAUAUUUCAAUGGUGCUGUUUCAGUACACACACGUAGCCACUGAAAUAUUUCAGUAAUGCACUUUCAGUACAGAGAUGUAGACACUGAAAUAUUUCAGUAGUGCCAUGUCGGUGAUCUUGCAUCCAAAUAUUUAGGGCUUCCUAAUGAUUCAGCAAAAAAAUAAACAUAAGCAGUGAAAUAAUUUUUGUAGGGAUGUUGGCUUACUCAUGUUUUAGAGUGGUUGGGCUUUUUUAGAACCGUUCGUUGAUGUCGAUCUAAUGGCAGACAAAUACGAAGUACUGGGUAGUACUCCGAUGCCAUAUCAAUGUUGCUGAUAUGAAUAUGCAUGUUUUCACCAAGUGUUUGCAGCAUGCCUGAUCAGUGAAGCAACACUGAUGCGGCAUGUCUGAUCAUUGCAGCAGCUAAAUUCAAGCAAAUCAUACAUCUAAGGAACCAUAAUGGCAAAUUUAAGGGACAGAAAUAUAGAUAGCAAUAUAUAUUACUACCAUAGAUAGCAGCAUCCACACAGCACACUUGCUGAUGCAGACACCUCGAAGUUCAGACCACUAGCAUAUUAGAUAUGUUUAGACCACACAUGACAGUACUACACUUAGAUAAAGUUCAUACUACAUUAGCACUAAAAGUUUCCACCAUCAGAAUACCACAUAAAGUUCACCAAAAGAACUGAGGCUUCCUCCAUCAUACGACAACCAGGGUCUAGGGCAACUACAUGUUAGGGUUUUUCAGGACCUUGUGGAGGGCAGAAUGCUGAGCACUGAUCUUGUAGUCAUGACUGCUGAUGGAUGUAGCCCGACAAUGCUCCAUCAGAUGCUCCUGCAACCCAGACCUGGGCUUGGGCUUGCUGCAGUAGCGGCACCUGUACUUGUCCUUCCUCCAGUUGUAGUACAUGGCAGAUCCUUGGGCCCUGAUCUUCUGCACCUCCUUCUCUUCAAAGGACUCGACGUUCCCCUCGUCCACAUCAUCUCCAGAUUCAUACUGCACACAUUAAUGACUGACAUUAAUACAUUAUGCAUUGAAAAAACUAUAAACACGUAAUACUAACUCAAUGCACAAAUAACAUUUCAACUAGGCCUUACCUCGUACGGCUCAUCUUCAUCAGAGUCAUAUGGGUAGAACCCAGUCUUUUCCCACUUCCUCUUGUUGCCCACAAGAUCCUCCUCCUCCUGCUAUAUUGUCAAACAAGCACAUCAAUUACAAUGAAUUGAAUUGAAGUUAACAGAAUGUCAUUACAAACAAAAUUGUGAAUGUGAACCACAUUGGUAUGUUGCAAGUGACCAAAUGCUUUCCUUAUAAAUAAAGAAUCUAAGCAAUCAAUCAAAAGACAAAUGAUUUCCUUCAUAAAUGCUAAUGAAAAUGCAAGCUGGAUUCUUGACAUUCCCUGAAUUUACCCAACACUUUUCUUUUGAGGGAAUUCCCCCCCACACUACUUAAUGGAAACAUAUAGUAUAUUUUGUUGCUAGGAUCCUGCCUUGGAAUGUUUACUUCACACUUUACAUAUAGUAUAUACUAAUUACAGAAGCCAACUACAAAUUUCAAUAUGCACAGAUUACUGUUUUUGGGAUAAUGCAGCAAAGCUCCUACACAUAUUAACAUAAUGCAGUAGUUAAUUAGGUACAACUUCAACUAUAAAUGCAUACAUCUCCAACAAACAUCUAAAAUUUCAUUACUUACCAAAACAACAACAAAUUAUACUAUAGAUGAAUCUUGUAUCAUCUAAAUCAAUUCAUUGGCACAUCAAAAUUAAUGCAUUCCAAAUCAAAUAUGUUUCCAUCCAGUAUCAUUGAACCACAGAUCAAAACAAAUAAUCAUAAAUGUCAGCAGCAUUGAACUACAGAUCUAAUAAUCAUAUGACAUCUAUCUGACCCUAAAUUCCCCCUUAAAUAAGGUAUUCAACCUCAUACUAAUUAAAAUCUAACAAGCAAAAAUUCAACUACUAAUCUAAUAAGCAUCUGAAAAAACCCCAAGAUGCUUUUAUCUCUGAAGCAACGGCAUUGCAGAGGAUGUUCAAUGCUGUCAAUAUGUCUGAAGCAACAACAAAAUUCCACAACUAACCCAAACUAAAUAAGCAUAGACUGCCCCUUCCCCUCGACCACGCUUCCCCUCUCCUUCAGAAGCCCCAAUCCAGCACAAAAAAAUCCAGCCCUUGAGAAGUUCUUUUGGAUUAACAUGACAACACCCAGUACAUGAGCACAUCCUUCACUAUAUUUACAACCAAACUAAUGCACCAUCUAAUCACCUCAGGUAGACAAUUUCCAAAUCACAAGGCCAUGCACAAAUCUAACCAAACAAAUUCUGGCCACAAACACUACAAUCUAAAAACUACCAACUAAAAGUGAUAAGCAGAUACCUUCUGCUCCGCCUCCUCCUCGCCGGAGCCGGCCUCCACCUUCUCCACCUCGUGCGCCUCGCCACAGCCUGCCCCCACCUUCUGCGCCUCGACAGAGCCCGCCUCCACCUUCUGCGCCUCGCCGGAGAUCGCCAGAGCGGGCGCAUCUGGCUGGACCGCGCUGCUGCGGCCCGGCCCCGCCUUCUCCAGAUCUCCAGCGGAGGGAGCACCGCGCUGGACGCCGGCACGCCCCCUCACAAAGGUGCCCGCAGCGACCUGCCGCGCCUGCUCCACCAGAUCUGCGCCCCAAUCGGGGCGCUCGCCUCCUGCGUCCGCCAUGGCGAUGGAGAGGAUGCGGUGAGGGAGACGAGGAGGUUGGAGAGGAGAGCGUUUUGGGGAGUGGGGAGUGGAGAGAGGGAGACGAUGCGGCGGGGGGAAAUGGUGGGCGAUGCGGCCGGAGGUGGUUGCCGUCCACAUUUAUAUGAUGGGAUAGUUUUGGCAACUACCCGUGACACGUGCUGCCCCACGCGCCGGCGGCUUCACGCGUGCACGAAAGGUCGCCGUAUACAAACAAAUACGUAUACGGCCGGGCAUACGAUCCUAUAUGACGACCAACACGCCCGAAACCAAGGAAGCGUGCACCCGCCGUCCCUCGUGCGCCCUUAAGGCCAGCCCAUGUGAGGGGCGGGAAGCCCCUUUCGUUUUUCCUUUUUAUUUUUUCUGUUUUCUAUUUUUCCUUUUGAAAGUAAUUCAGGAUUUCUACAAAGUUGCAAAUUGCGAAAAAAUGUUCGCAUUCCAAAGUUCUUCAUGGCUUGAAAAAAUGUUCAGGACAUGAUAAAUCUCACAGAUUCAAAAAAUGUUCGUGAUUUCAGAAAGUGUUCAUAUGUUAAAAAAUGUUCAUGAAUUUUUAGUAAAUAUUCAAAAUAUUUUGAAAAAUGUAUGAAUUUUUCAAAACUGUUCAUGAAUUCGUAAAAGAUAUUAGGAAAUUUUAAAAAUGUUCACAAUUUCAAAAAUAUAUUUCUGAAUUUGGAAAAUUUUCCUGAUUUCAAGAACAGUUCAGCGUUUAAAAAAUUGUUCCUGAAUUCAAAAUAUGUUUAUGUUUUUCUUAAGAAAGCGUGAAUUUUAAAAAAUUUCGCAAUUUCUUAAUAAUACGAAUAUUUUUUGAAGUUGAUGAAAAAAUAUAAUUCAAAAGUGUUCACCCAUUUUUUUUAAAAAAGUUCAAAUCUAAAAAAAAUCAAAAAUUAAAAAAAUGUUCUCGAAUUUCAGAAAAUGUAUGUAAAAUUCUUCGGAAGCUUCAGCAAACAUAUAUAACAGUUACCAUGUAACACAGUGGAAUAAUCAUAGCUAGUAGAGCAUUAGUUACCAGUUAAUAAUAGUUGCAAUCCAUCACAAGCAAUAGUACCUAGAUAUGAGUAGAUAUAGGUACGGUAAUACACCACAAGUACUCGCAAACAAGAGCUAACAUAAUAAGUUCAUUUCACAUUGAUACAUGGCCCACCCCAGUUCUAAAUGAGGUGGAUGGUGAUCAUCAUCCUCAAGUCAUGGCGACGGGUGUUCGCAACACUGAGUAGGAUGGCCUGUCCUACCCGAAGAUUCUUGGCACGAAGGAACUUCUUCCACCCUGCCCUGCUCAAGACAGUGCGACCGUCCGUGUCCACUGCAUAGGCACAGCUGGUGAUGGAGCCCGUUCUGGUAAGGCGUAGUCCAGCAGCCAUGCCUUCUUCGUCCGGGUCGAUGCCACAGCUAUCAAGUAACCUCUUAGGUAAUUUCUAAAAACAGUUGACAUGAUAUAUGAUCAUGUCACGUGCAAUUAUCAACAAAGCAUACACUUCAAGACACAUAUAUCAUUGGAUUCAACACUGAGCAUAUAUAUCAUCACAUCACUACACUAUACGCCAAGCAUCAAAUUACUACAGUAAUUAGGCAUAUCAUUAGAUUACUGCGUACACUAAGCAUAUCAUCGCAUAUUACUACACUACAUGCAUGUCAUAAAAUUCUUCACUAAAUGAAUUCUAAACUAGGCCUCUCAUCACAGUACUACAACAUGCAUAUCAUAUGAACUACUACACUAACUAAGCAUGCAUAUCAUGUAAUUACCACACUAAGUAACAUACCAUGAUAUGCCGUUUAACAUUCGUCCUUGUGAGGCGGGUCACGAAUGGCUUCCCUAGGUAGUCUUCACGUAGCGGAAGCAUGUCCCAGAGGUUGCCGAUUUCCUCGUCGCCCAGUCUGAGUCCUUGGGCAUACAGGUAUUCAACAAGUGGGUUCUCAUCAUCAUCUGAAUCGUCAUCAUCUGAAUCAGCACCAUCUUCCUCCUCAUGAACUUCAUCCUCACUAUCCGGAAUCAAAUUUAGAUAGAUAACAGAAAUCCUGGGCCUAUCUCUUCUGAAGGAGAAGCUGAUCAAUUCACCCCCACUAAGACGCAUGCGGGCGAUGAAACGAUCCCAAUCAUCUCCUCCUAUCUGGGUUAUCUUUCGCCCCUUCCCGACCUGCAUAGUGUAUGGGCCCCCAAGAGCGUCGAAGGUCACGGUGUCUCCGAUGAGCUCAUUGAAUGCCAAUCUCACAUUGCAUGGUACGAUCUGUGUAAGAUAAAAACAAAUAACAGACACAAUACAUUAGUGGAAAUAGCAAAAAAAAAGAAUGUACUGUCAGAAGGUUCAUAUAAAUUGUUACCGCUGCAACAACAAAAGAAGGCUGGAAGUAGAUGCCGAACAGCGUGGCAGUAGAAAGGCUGGUCUGGCACCGUGAGUUGCAGCGUCCACAUGGUGCUUCCUCCAUUCUACACAGAACAUGUUGAACUCUAAGUUGAAUUGUACAUAGUACAAUACAAAGAUCAUACAUGUAAUAAAUCAUAGUGAUAACCUAUACUGGCAAUGGCCAAUCAAUCUAUUUACUAUCAUCUACGUAAUAAAGCAAUGCCAAUGACAAUGGCAAUGCCCGUCUCAUCUAAACCUGGGAAUAGUUCGGCAUCCAAACUCAAACCAGUCCAAUCCACGGCACACAUCAAAACCAAACCAAUCCAGAUAUUUUCAUUUAGAAUCUAGACCAAACCGAACUAUACAUGCUCGUCAUCCAACCCAGUCCAAACCGUUUUCAACUUUUGGAUUGAAUCCAAAGGUUCAAACCAUAGAAACCAACUCAAGAUCCAAUCCAAAAACUAAGUUUCAGUCCAAACCAAUCGGCUCAGAUCCACCUCCGUAGGGAGACGCGGUUGGGGAAGGGAAGAAGAGGGGAGAUCUCACGUACUUGCCGGAGUUGGCGGCGGCCGCGCACCGGCAGCGAAGAGAGGGGUCGUCGGGAGAUGGCGGCGGCGGCGCUGGUCGAGAAGGGGAGAAAGAAAGAUGUGGAGUGGUCGAGACGGGGAGAAAGAAAAAUGUGGUACAUGUGGUGGCGCGGUUGUGUGGAUGACAAGGGGACCCACUUGUGAGACCGAUAGCAAUUGAUGGCAAACCGCAGGAGGUGCACGACCGCAGGAGGUGCACGACCGCGUGCACUUGUGAGACCGAUAGUACUCUGUUUUUUGCUCUCUUUUUUUCAUGUCAGAAGUGUUUUAAGCAUUUUAUCGUUUCAGGCCCGUGGGUGGUUACAGAAUGGAACACGAACAGCACGAGCCCCAUGACCCCCACGAUCACGAUAACGACGAGCGCCUCCCUCACGCGACGAACCGCCUCCCCCAGAACUCAAAAAGGCACCUUCUCCUCCAUUCCUCCCUCAUUAUGCGAACCACGUCCAUCUACUCCACAAACUGCAACCACCAUCUCUGUCUCAAAACCGCCGUCGCUGGAGAAGGGCAAUGGCAGAGGAGCCGUCUACCAAGCGUCACUGUGGCGAGACGUCCGACCAGAGCAUCAAGGAAGACGACGUUCAGGUCCCCGGUGAGAAGCGCGACUACACCACCAAACUUGACAAGGUGGAACUCCACGGCAAAGAGACGCUGGAGGUCGUCUGCACCAGCAAUCCAGACACUGCCGACGAAAUGCUCACCAGGCUCUUCAUGAAAGCCGUCGGCAGGUAUCCUAGAUUCGUCGGCGUUGAUGUGGAGUAUACCAGGGAUGACGAACCUCCGCAGUACGCAGCAGUUCUGCAGUUAUGCGUGGAUGAACUCUGCCUGGUCUACCACAUCGCUGCGGCCACAAAAUGGUGAGCCAUCCUACUCAUAUACCCUAGUUUCUCAACUACAUCUACUAGUGUAGAUUGUGAAGUGCACGCACUAGUGUGGUUUCUCAAGUACAUGCACUGGCAUAGAUUUUUACCCUGAUGCACUGGAUUAGUAUCUUAAAAUCUUGCACCAGAUUAAUCACCAAACUUGAUAUACUAGUGUAGUUUCUGAUCUUGAUGCAUUAGUGUUGUGUCUACCGCUGUGGAUGCAUUAGUGUUAUUUUCUGAAGUUGAUGCACUGGACUAGAUGUAUUAGUGUUGUGUCUACUAGUGUAGUUUCUGAUAUACUAGUGUAGUUUCUGAUAUUGAUGCAUUAGUGUCGUGUCUACCGGUGUGGAUGCACUGGACUAGAUGUAUUAAAAGUUGUUUCUGAAGUUGAUGUAGUGAAGUAGUUUGCUGUAGUGUUAUUUUCAACUGUAUGAUCCAAAAAGAGAAAUAACAUCAUGUACUUCAUGCAUUCAUCUUCAAAAUUACUACUAAUCUUCAAUAUGUCUCUCCCCUUGAAGGCCCAAGCGCCUCAAGAGCUUCCUCCAGGAGAAGAAGUUGUUCACCUUUGCCGGUUUCAGCAUUCAUAAUGACAAAUAGAUGCUGAAGAUGUCUGGUUUGGAGAUCAAUCCCGAAAAGUACAUCGACAUUCAGAAAAACUAUAGAGUUCCAUAUGCCGGCAGAAAGAAGCAGUACGACUCCUUGGCUGAUGUUGCAGCCAACGUCAUCCACCCAUUUUACCAAAACAUGAAGAAGAAGAUCAACAGGACCGAAGACCAUAAACUGUGGGGGAUCAGCCCGCUACCAGACUACCUCAUCGAGUACGCAGCGAAGGAUGCGUGCGCCACCUACAAGGCUUGGAAGAUAAUAGACAACAUCAAAUCAGGUGUGGAAAUUUCAGAAGCACAGGAGGCGUAUUCCGUGGGCGACCGGCGUCUCCGAUCUGAUCUUGCAGCGGUCGUGGGAGGUGCGGACGGCCCGGGUGGUUAGAAUGCGGAGCUGUAAUCGCGGGAUUUAGGGAGGGGUGGGCCGCGUGAGUUAUGUGAGAUUUGGAUAAAUGAUAUAAAAAAAUAAGAAAAUCUUGUCAACUCGUUUAGGGGUUUAGGGUUAUUAGGGUUUAGGGGUUUAGGGUUUAGUGGGGGGGNNNNNNNNNNNNNNNNNNNNNNNNNNNNNNNNNNNNNNNNNNNNNNNNNNNNNNNNNNNNNNNNNNNNNNNNNNNNNNNNNNNNNNNNNNNNNNNNNNNNNNNNNNNNNNNNNNNNNNNNNNNNNNNNNNNNNNNNNNNNNNNNNNNNNNNNNNNNNNNNNNNNNNNNNNNNNNNNNNNNNNNNNNNNNNNNNNNNNNNNNNNNNNNNNNNNNNNNNNNNNNNNNNNNNNNNNNNNNNNNNNNNNNNNNNNNNNNNNNNNNNNNNNNNNNNNNNNNNNNNNNNNNNNNNNNNNNNNNNNNNNNNNNNNNNNNNNNNNNNNNNNNNNNNNNNNNNNNNNNNNNNNNNNNNNNNNNNNNNNNNNNNNNNNNNNNNNNNNNNNNNNNNNNNNNNNNNNNNNNNNNNNNNNNNNNNNNNNNNNNNNNNNNNNNNNNNNNNNNNNNNNNNNNNNNNNNNNNNNNNNNNNNNNNNNNNNNNNNNNNNNNNNNNNNNNNNNNNNNNNNNNNNNNNNNNNNNNNNNNNNNNNNNNNNNNNNNNNNNNNNNNNNNNNNNNNNNNNNNNNNNNNNNNNNNNNNNNNNNNNNNNNNNNNNNNNNNNNNNNNNNNNNNNNNNNNNNNNNNNNNNNNNNNNNNNNNNNNNNNNNNNNNNNNNNNNNNNUCGACCGACAUACUUCGUGCCACAUAGAGCAUGCAUCCAUCCACUGAACCGGAUCGAUGUUGGGUUGGUUUACAUGUACAUGUACAGGGACCGGAAAUGCGCGUGUCAGAGAUCGUACUUGCGUGUACAUGUACUAAUGAUCCCAAACUUUCAUCAUGGCAUCCCAUGACCCCAUAGAGAAUUCAUGCAUAAUGGUUUCCAUGUGGGGCAAAAAUUUGAAUGUUUUUACGGUUUUGUGUGUCUGUGUGGUGGGGGGGGGUGGUUAGGGUUCAGGGUACAUGCCACAUUGUUCACAUUGUCCAAUUAACACUUUGUAUAGAUUUUUUGGGUAAAAAAUGAACGAAAUGAUGCAACUAAUCUGAACGUAACGUUUGGCAUGUAUCAAACCAAGUAGCCACUAUUCCUCAAAAAAAAAACCAGUUAGCCACUAAUUGCGCCAAACAUAUCACGUAAUAAAUGGGUUGACAAUUAUUUCUUGAAAUUCAUGGAAGGAAUUUAUUGCUCUUCCUUUUUUAGAGAACAAUAAGUUACAAAUUUUAUUUUGGAAACAAGAAAUCAGUUUUCAAUUUUAUUUGUCCUUUCCAAUAGAUUUCAAAUGAGCUUUUCCUUGGUCUGGUCAUACAAGGCAUUAAGCACACAUGACAUUGCUUAUACAGAAGCUGACUGAAAUAAUUUGUUAACAACUACUAACGACUGAUGAUCAACAAGUAAACAAAUCCCACAACAAUUAUUGAAAAAUAAAAUCCCGCGGCCAUCUGAUUUGCGUGCUUCUUCAGAUCGAUCAACUGCCUUAAGUUCUUGUUCAUCUUCUUCAAUUCCACCUUGAGUUCCGCAUCCGCCACCAUCGGAGGAACAUUGGCAUAGCCCUUAUCAUCCACCGCCGAUGGCAGAUCUACCUCUAGGGUUGCCACGUGCCUCAAAUCAAUGAAGCCAUCCGUUUGAAGCCUCUCAACGUAUUCAUCCAGCCACUCAAAAUGCUUGCAUGUUUUCAGGUUCUGAAAAAGGGAAGGGAAACCCUAAAUACCAAUUCCGAGGAAAUAUAAAUAAAUCUGGGGUCAGAAUUCAUAGCAAAAAGACACAACAGAACAUAGAUUUAACCUUCCCCGCUUCUGGUUUGCUCUCGCAUUUCACAAAUUCCCGCCCAUGGUUUCCAUUCUUCUCCGAUAUGGUUGUCAAACGCUUCAGUGGCGCGAUGCGUGGGCAGUCGGGGCAUCUGGUCAUCGGUAGUGAACCAUACCACGGCCAUGAUGACGGAGAGGCCGAACUGGACAUGGACAUCUCUCGUCUCUCACCGUCCGGCGGCGAUGGCAGGCUUCGUCGCCGGAGAAGAAUAAAAAUUUGGUGGGGCAAGGGAAAGGGAGGCAAUGGUGGGCCGCGGGUUGGCACGGGCAUGGCGAUGGCUCGGGCUUGUGUGAUAUGUGGUUGGACCCGCGGUCAGUGCACAUGUUUUGGAAGCCCCCAAAAGAUCGUGCUCCUUAAAAAAACUGCAUCAAAGCGCAUUACUUCAAAAUAACUAAUUAUCCCUACAAUCACGGAUAUAUACCUUCCCAUUCUACCGCAUAUCAACCCUAUCCUAACCACCCCCAUCUACCUUGUUUCUCCUCACAUAGCCAUCGCCGGGAUCGCGCCAUCGCUUCUAAAGCGACCACGCCGACGCCGGAUUAAAAAGGUCUCCUUCACGGCUCCUCCCAUCUUCGAUUGCAGUGCUGAUUAUUUUUUCCAUUGAUUCGACCAAGAAGUCAUUUCCGAAGAGAUUAGAAAAUACAGCCUUUGCCAUAGUUGAGUAGUUCUGGUGUAAUUGGAGUACAGGAUGUCAUGCAAGAGCUUUUUGAUUGAUAGUUUGUAGUAGUUGUUCGUACGAACUGGUUAUGAAUAUAUUUUCUCGGUGGUAUUGUUAGGAAUUAGUUGGAUGAGGUUGUGGAUACAGUUUUCAUACUAUGGGUAUAUGUGUUGUUGUAGGGACCAUGGUCUCAGAGGCGCAUAACAACCAUGCGGAGUAUGACAAGUCUUUGCAUGAAGCGCGCCGGGAGAUCGACUUGAAGGUGCAAAAGGAUCGCGCUGAGGUAGAUAAGAAACUCAAAAAAGAACGUUCAUACGUGGACAGGAUGAUAAAGGAGGAGCGUGAGGAGUUUUCCCGUAAGAUGGCGAAGAUGCGUCUUGAGAUUGAAGAAAAGUAUAAGCGGGACUGUGAGGACUUGGAAAAAAAGUUUUUCCUUGGCUACAAGGAAAUGCAUCAAACGUUGCAGAAGGACCGGAAGCUUGUGGACAGUAUUAUACAGACAGAGCGAGUCAGGAUGGAUGCCUAUGUGUUGCAGGCACGUUCGGAUAUGGACAGCAAGCUGCUACAGGAGCGGUCGGACAUGGAUUAUAAGGCCAUGCUGGAGAAGGUCCGUUUGGAAGGACAUAUGUUAGAAGCCCGUGCGAUCUCACGGCCACCCCGACAACAUGUCUUCAAUUUUUCUCCCCCUGUAAGUAUUUCGCACCGAUUGUAUAUAUUAAGGACCUUAGUAUUCUAUGAUACAAACAUCUUCAAUUUGUGGCAACCUUAUGUCGGCGAUUGUAUGUAGGCUAAGCAUCAUGAGACGGCACAGUCGCCAUCCACUCGAGAAAGUGCGAUAGAGUCACCCGUUCAAUGCCACAUCACUCCACCCCAACAACAUAUCUUCAAUUCUCCCCUUGUAAGUACCUCCCAACGAUGCCAUACAAAAGAUAUGGUAUGACCUUUUAAAAUUUGUGUGUAAACCCACUGUUGACGUUUCAUACGCAGGAUAAGAAACGUGGGAUGGCAGAGUCCCCAGUCACACCACAUGAAGGAUACAUUCCACAUAACAAGGUGAGAAGGUUUGAGAUGGCACAAUCCCCAGUCACUCGACAUGAAGGAUACAUUCCACAAAAGCAGGUAACAACACCGCAAUUUUGCUAUGCACAUAAAAAAUUAUGUUUGCCCCUUUACUCAUUUAAUGUAUUAACUCUGAUGUGAGAUACUAGGUGCUGGUCAUGGAAUUUAUUGUUAGUAGGGAUGAUGAGAUGUCACAUGUCCCGAGAGCAUACUUUGAUGAACACCCGGCAGAAGUCCGAAUUUUUGAACCCCUCAAAGUGACCUACGAUCUCAUUAUGAGUGAAAUGAGAGAUACUUUUGGUUGCAAACUGGGAGCAGAACUGUACUACUUCUUACCCGGGUCUGCGUGGAAGCUGCCAGAAGGAAUGUUCUUGAUUGCAGGACCAGAUGAUGUAGAAAAAAUGCUUUCUGAUCUGAAUGGCAGCAAGAAAUGUCACCUGUACAUUGUGUACAAUAGAACUACGGGUCCUUAUCCCGAGCAUGACUUUGAUCCAGAGGUUCAAAUUUUACAUGUUACAUGCAUCUAGUUUAUGGCUACGUCAUUUUUAAGUUCUUCCUAAUACAAUUCCUAUGGUUUUCUACAGGAAGUGAGAAUCCAAGAAAUGGAGGGUCUUGCUAGAGAGUUGGCGGAGAAAGAUCAAGAACAACUUCAGUUGUAUGGUUACAUUGAUGUUAAAGAGAAAAAGAUUGAAGCACAUGGGUCGUCGCCAAGCCCGACGCAAUCUCCAACGUCGCAACGCAAGAGGUCACUGGAUUUUGGCAGUGCAGAAGACCAUAUGGAGUAGGCUCAAUUGUUUUUCAACCAGUUUAAGCUUCAAACCAGGAUUAUUUGUUGCAAACAAACAUUUUUUUUCUGUUUCACACUAUGUUCGCAAUUAUGGUACAAUUUAUUCAUGAGACAGUUCUUUGAACAACAAUGCAUGUGUUUUAUGAUCAAUCAUACAGUUGUUUCUGAGUUGUUUGUGAGAUGGCAUUGCAUCUAAAGAAGUUUCCAUCUAUAAAACUUGUAAAAAAUCAUUUAUGUUGUCUUUGUUGAAACUGUUUUUUCGUGCCUUUCAUCUACACGUGUAAUCAUUAUAGCCUACAAAACCAUACAACGUCGCAAAACAAUUUCCAGUUUGCAUGGAUGCUUGUCAUGUUGGUACAAGGGUUUCAAAAAAAAUUUGGGUCCAUUUCAAGCAUGCCGAAAAAAUCCGUCUUCCCAGACGGAACACCAAUUUUUUCCAUCAAGCGCACAAGCACACCCCCGUGGGCCGCGUGAAAUCUGAGCUAACCCCAAAACCUGCUGGUUUUGACGUCAAUUAAGAUAGAAAUAUCAAGGGAAGAAGAUAGAAAUAUCAAGGGAACAAGAUAGAAAUAGCAAGCAAAACACAGAUAACCAACGUCGGCCACCCGCGCUCGCAUGCAUGCACGUCCGCCACCCGCGCUCGCAUGCAUGCACGUCCGCCACCCGCGCAUGCAAACCCACGUCGCCGCCCUUCCCAUGCAUGCAGGCCUCAGGCGCAGACAACGAGAUGGCCCAACGGUCCAUCCAGCGACCCAGCGGGUGAGGCUGGCGUGGGACGGCCCACCCGAAGUAGGCCCAAGCGAGCUUCGCGCCGGGCACAUCCCAGGGGUGCAGGGAGUUUAGUCCCACCUCGCCGAGCGAGGGGAGCUAGCACCGGUUUAUAUAGCGCGCUGAGCUUUCCCUCUCAAGUUCCUUUCUAAAGCGGGCAGCACAUUGCCUAACCGUCUCCGUCCCUGCCCUGUGGGGCCUACUUGCUACCUGUUUUCACAAUCUGGCGGGCCUCUGCAUCCUGGCCCAAUAAAUGAUUGGGUUACUAGUCGUAUGCAGGCCGUUGAAUUGGGAAAGCGGGCAAGUAGACGGGAUUUUUUUGCACCGGCCCGAUUACUUUUGUACACUGGGGGUAUACAUGUAUUGUACGUGGGCGAUUCGUUUUACCUUGUCACGUGCGGCGGUCGUGGGCGUGGGCGGCGGCGGUCGAGGGCUAGCCACGCGGCCACGCGGCGCACGAAAACUUCCAAAAACGUCGGUCUAUGCCUCAAGGGGGCAUUGUAAAAUACUUUUUUCCAAAAAUUUCUUUCAUAGACAUGUUUGGCACAUGUGUGUCACCAUGUACAAGAAAAUUGGGGUGAUUUGGAGGUGGUGGAAAAAUUCACCUUUUUUCAAAAACUGGCUUAAGACCAAAUGGUCCCUCCGGAAUGCGGGCAUUUUUUCGACCACCUCCAAAUCACCUCAAUUUUGGCACACAUGAUCUCUUGCACAAACAAUGCUAGGUUUCCAAGGUUUUGUAUUUUUUUGAAUUUAUAAUGCCCUCUAGACUGACUGCUGAAAACAUCGGUCUAUGCCUCAAGGGGGCAUUGUAAAAUAAUUUUUUNNNNNNNNNNNNNNNNNNNNNNNNNNNNNNNNNNNNNNNNNNNNNNNNNNNNNNNNNNNNNNNNNNNNNNNNNNNNNNNNNNNNNNNNNNNNNNNNNNNNNNNNNNNNNNNNNNNNNNNNNNNNNNNNNNNNNNNCUUUCAUAGACAUGUUUGGCACAUGUGUGUCACCAUGUACAGGAAAAUUGGGGUGAUUUGGAGGUGGUGGAAAAAUUCUCCUUUUUUCAAAAACUGGCUUAAGUUGACCAAAUGGUCCCUCCGGAAUGCGGGCAUUUUUUCGACCACCUCCAAAUCACCUCAAUUUUGGCACACAUGAUCUCUUGCACAAACAAUGCUAGGUUUCUAAGGUUUUGUAUUUUUUUGAAUUUUUUUGAAUUUAUAAUGCCCUCUAGACUGACUGCUGAAAACAUCGGUCUAUGCCUCAAGGGGGCAUUGUAAAAUAAUUUUUUCCAAAAAUUUCUUUCAUAGACAUGUUUGGCACAUGUGUGUCACCAUGUACAAGAAAAUUUGGGUGAUUUGGAGGAGGUGAUUUGGGUGAUUUGGAGGAGGUGGUGGGCAAUGUCAGUUCGAAAACUCUAGAGAUACUUCCUCAACCAAUGAUGCGACCCAGGGACCUUCAUGCAAAAACUAGGCACCUGCAUGCAAGAGUCGGGGACCUGCAUGUGAAUAGUGAUUCAUCAAGGCCUUGACAGCUGCUGGCACAGCGGCUGCCGCCCAAUUUGCAUGCAGCGAAGAUGAACGUGCAUGGAGGUUUCUCAAAUAUUUCCAAGCACACCCUACUGGCCCCCGCUUAUUUAAAAAAUACAUCAGUCAUUAAUGAUCUAUAAAUGAAGAAUAUGCAUGAUGAUUAUGAAUAUGCGUGCAGAAAUACAUCACAAAAAUUAUUCUACUCGAAAAUAACAAGUGCUCCAUGCUAGCCCUUAUUCCUGUUCGAAAUACAUCAUCAUUCUUAAAGUUGGACAUCAAAUGAUACACACAGAAAAUGAAAACGAAAGAUGUCGAACUAAUACAGUAACAUGGCAGUACAACCGCACUUCACUAAAUUACUGUCACGAUGAAAUAGAAUGUAAAGACCACGUCACACAAAGCUGAAUGGCACACGACUUUCUCUGGCUCAUCGUCAGUUCAUGCUGUAUGUAGACAUCACAGUUCAGCCUCGAGAUCCUACACAGAAGAAUAGAAUAAAUCACAUGGACAUCAAUUAUGAGUAAAACACAUGCAAAAAAUAAAUAUGAACAUAUUUCGUACCUCUAGCAAUUUAGCGCAUUUACGUCGAUUGUGACCAGGAUUCUUGCAAUAGCCACACAUAUUCUGUGAUCUUGACUUCUUUGUCUUUGCCUGCAGCCUUUUCUUCGGUGCACCUCGGCCUGGCACAUGCACGGGAUCCAGAACCUUAUCAACUUUCUCCGAGUGCGGCAUCAACGGGCCAAACCUAAUGCUGUUAUGCUGAGCAUUAGUUGACUCCUUGUUGUCAGCUUGUUCAAAACAUGAUUGCUUGCCAUGAUGUUGUGCUUCCAAAAGCAUCUUUAGACGGUGAUAGUCCUCAUCAGAGUGGCAUGCCUUGAAACUUGCGGCGUGACUACAAUUCCGCAACUCGCGGUACCUCUGCAGGCUUACCGAAUAGUCAUACAUCUGGUUUUUUCUGGUAGGUGCGUAUGCACAUUUUGCAUUCAUAGUCCACCUAGUGGGAACGCAACAACUGGGCAGAAUUGUUUGUUUUAAAAUCCCGAAUAUGUAAAAAAUGUGGGAACAUGGUGUGCCUGCGCAUUCCAGCUUACGGCAAGAACAACUCACCCUGUGCAAAAGACCUCCUUGCUCUUCAGUGCGCACUCCAAACUUUUUAUCCAUUCUUUCCUGCUUGGACACAACAUAAGUGGAAUCUUCUGAUCCAUCUAGUAUCUCUCUCAUCUGACAUUUGCUGACAGCAUCUAUGCUCCAUAAGACCAUCUUAAAGACACUAGGUGUGAAAACUGUUGCGGCGUGUUUCUCAAGCGGCGAAGCAUUUUCCUCUGUAAAUGGAACGGACUGCAAGGCUUCGACGUCUUGGAGAGCUUCGUUAAUCCGUCGCGACGCAAGGCAACGCUCAUAGUGCUCUAGCAUUUCAAACAACGACAUCUUACCCUCAAGAUGCGUAUGUAGCACAGAGUUCAAGCUCUCACUCCUCUGAUUGCUGCUCAAUCCUAGGAAACAACGCCCCUCAAGAUAUGGAGCACACCACAACUUUCUCAUCUGAUACAUCUGAUGCAGCCAAGACUCCUCACUGGUUACUUUAUUCCGUUGUAAGAAUUGUAUCCAUUUUAUCUCAUGCUCUUCAAUGAAAGAAGUAUCAUAAAUGAAAGAUCUGAAUUCCUCCUUUACGUCGUCAUCAUGCAGAUGGCGUACAAUGUUCUGCUGAAUGUGCCAUAUACAUAGUCUAUGGUUUGAGUCUGGCCAGACCACCCUGAUUGCUCUCUGCAUUGCAAGGUCCCCAUCUGUGAUCACAGAUAUCGGAUGCUUCUGUGCCAUGCAAUCAGAAAAGGUCCGCAACAUCCACUCGUAUGCCUGGCUUGUUUCAUGAGAAAUUAUACCACCGCCAAAAAUAACAGUGCUGCGGUGGUGAUUCAACCCGACAAACGGCACGAAUGGCAGAUUGUAUUUGUUGGUUCUGUAUGUGCUAUCGAAAACAAUGACGUCUCCGAAAGCCUCGUAGUCAAGUCGCGAUUGACUAUCAGCCCAGAACAGUCCCUUCAGAUGGCCAUGCUCGUCUACCAAGUACUUGAAGAAAAAAUCCACAUCUCGCUCUCGCCUCGCCAUCAUGUGCAUGAUCACCGUAUUAGCAUCACCGACACUGAUUGUCUCCUGCUUAUUAGCAUGGCAGAAAUUAUAAAUGUCCCUCUUUAUGCAUCCAACCUUAUCAAAUCCACCGUAUUGAAAGCACAAAAUAUCCAUAAUACGGUAUUUGCGGAUCCCACAUUUUUCCAUGUCCGCAAUGUCCGCUUUCUGCUCAUCGCUAAUUCGUCUGUGCGAACGCAGCAGACAAGAAAGAUCCCGUGGGGCUAGAGGAUGGAUGUGCUCAUCGAUGAAAUCCUUGACAAACCACCGACCGGUUUCCUCCUGUCUCGUAAUGACCAAUUUAGCAUUACACCCAACACGAGUUAAACUUCGUGGCCUCCUCUUUCUAUCUUCCAUCUUUCUUUUCAUGUGCUUCUCUUCGUGAAACCCUUCACGACUACACACAAUUUUCCUUAAAAUUAUGUAUUUGUUGGAUCCAUCCCACUCAACGUAGCUUUUCCUCACACUAAAACCUUUUUCAAGAGCAUAUUUGUUGUAGAAUUCAUAGCCUUCAGCCUCACUAUCAAACAUCUUGCUGACAACAUUUAGAUACUCGAACAUACUCUCAUCACUUGCAUACGCCAUGUCUUCCUGCAUAUGACAUGUGAGGGAAACCAAUCAUCAACAUCUUUCUGUUUAUCAAUGUUGCAGGUGUAAAAUAGCUCAUAGGCAAAGACAAGUGCAUGGAAAAGACUUUGCUCGUUUGACAUGUGAGGGAAACCAAUCAUCAACGCCCAAGUUUAAUUCCCCGCAAGAUCGGACGGCUAAUAAAAAUCAGACGUGAUCAGAGAUGUAAGUACUGCUAAAUUGAAUUGCAUGCACUAGGAAAACCUAAAUCGAUGAUGACUAAACAAAUCUAAGUAGGAAGUGCAGGCUACGAAUCAAAGUAAGUUGAGAUUCAGGCGAUUCAUACCUUAAGAUGCAAGUCCGGAAGCGAUGGGAUCAGUGGGGGGCUUUCUCCUAUACCGCCGCCGCCGUCGCCACCGACACUGCCGCCGCAGAUGUCACGCCUUAUUCUUCUUCCUGCCGCCGACCACGUCUUUUAUAGUGAAGGGGACCAGGAGGAGGACGAGAACGACGCCGAUGACGGUGAAUUGGUUCCUCUCGCCGGGCUCGUCGGACAGAAGGAAGAGGACGAGAAGGAGGACUUGACCGAGCUACUAGAUCUAGACGUGGUUCUGGUCGAGAAGGAGGACUUGACCGAGCUACUAGAUCUAGACGUGGUUCUGGUCGUGGACGUGAUCGGUUGAAUUUUUUUUUACCCUGGACCAUUAUGCCCUUCUCUGAUUAAACUAAUUAAGUUAAUUCAUUUUUAAUCCCCCACCAGAUCGGACGGCUAAUAAAAAUCGAAGGGGUAAGUACUUGAAAGUACUCCCAGUACCGCCCCAAUCACCGUAAAAGGGCUCUCUCCUCAUACCCAAACAAAUCUGCCUUCUGCACCAGAUUCCCACCUCUCCUCGUCCAAUUCAAUGUCUGUGUUCAAGCUCCUGAUCUCCCGUCUAACAAUGGUCAUUACGAGCUACGCACAUGUAAGGUCAUUGAUCCAAUCAACAGGAACAUUGCCCUUCGCUGCCAGAUUCCUCAAGAAAUUUAUCAGGAGAUGCAUUUUGCUGGCACUUCCUAUGGUCAACUAAUUUGCGGCCGUGCUGGAUAUUGUCUUGUUGUUGAUGUGUUCAGUGGUGCCGUGGUUUCUCCCCCACGUCUCCCAUUCAGCGGUGAUUUUGAGUUUGGGAGGGAGUUCUACUUCAGUGGCACUUUGACGGCUCCCAUUGCAUCACCCAACUCACACCUCCUUGUCAGUACUGCAAUAUCCCUGUUUGAUUGGCCGGUCGGAAGUAACUCUUGGUCUGAACUCCAGCUUUCUGAUGAAUCGAUAGAACAGAUUGUGGAAUUCAAUGGUCAGUUCAUCGCCAUGGAUGAUUGUUAUAAGAUCUACGCCUUGCAGCUGUCCCCCCAGCUUGGUCUGCAGGAGAUAACAACUGAGUGGGUCGGUCACCUGUCCCCAAGCUCGUACACGAAACCAUGGCUAGUGGUCUGCGGCGAUAUGCUUCUCAUGGUUUCCUGUUUCUGGACAGUGAGCUCAGGCAGCUCAGUGAGCCCCGGGCCGGCAAGCUGCAGCCCCUUUGGGUGUAUCCAAGCAUGUUCUACACUGAUGCGCAGUGACCACCGUGCGCAUCCACGGGCUUGCUGCUCCACAAGCUCCUGAUGAAAAUCCCCCCCUGCAACACAGAGUAGGGGCUUUUGCAACUUGGGCGGUGCCAUCGUAGCAUUAGCACUUAGAACAUUUGUAGCAGUUUGGUAAACCAGUAUCUAGAGCCUGGGAGAUUAGUGCUUAGAGCUAGUUAGGAGUAGUCAAGCUUCUAAGUCAGUACUAUUACUUCAGCUGUGUUGUUUAAUUAUGCGCUGGAUGAUGUGUAAUACUUUGAACUACCUGUUUCUUGUCUCUGCUCCAGUGACACGACUUCUAAGCUUCUACGUCGCGUUGACUCAGUUUCAUUGUACGUAUUUCUGCAUGCCCUUGGCUUCUAUCACUGGACAAGCUCGUUGAUUGGAAGUUCUGGUACAAUGGUAAAGAAGACCAGAACUGUCAAUGUUAUUGGAAUGGAUAAUCAGAAUUGCUUGUGCAAGAUUUUACUUUGGUCUGGGAGCUAAAAUAUACCACUAAUAGCAUCAGAUUCACCUCGAUGCAAUACUGUGUUGCUGUGUAAUAGGUAGCUCAUUCUGGCAUGUUGUUGAAGGAUACUUUGACAAGAACCCUCCUGUGUAUCUUCAGUUCCAUCGCUGGUCUGCUCCUUUUCUCUGUUCAGAGAACACAGUCUGAACAUGUGGUGUUUGUUCUCUUCCUCCUAUGAAGUAUAGACAGAAUUACAAUUACAGUAAAAAGUAGGAAAUCCAAAGAGAUUCAUAUUCCAACUUGUCUAUUGGAUAGUUCAUAAAACAAAAUGCAGGAUUAUACAUUUUGGAGAGGUGGUGGCGAGCCAAAGUUCAAAAUGUUUUGAGAUAAAAAUUGAAGUCUGCUAUUUUAAUCAGAAUCCAAUCCAAGCCUACUUUAUUUGUUACAUAAAUAAAUUCCAUCGGGAGGACGAUGCUCCUUGCCAACAUAGCAGCCCCUGACACUGAAAUGAGGUGUGUGUCGACCUUCGCCAAUUGCAUCUCCAUUGUGUCUUCCAUCAAUUUCUCUGAUAAGCUGAAUAACAUGUGGGGUUUUCGUUACCUCAAAUAUUUCCUUCAGGUUUUUAUGCUAGGCCUCGCUCAGCGCAGCCCACUGAACAGGAGCAUUUGGACUUAAUGGGCCGAUGGUCCUAGCAGCAAUGACAACAAAAUCAGUUAAGUAAUUUUAGUUCCAUAGCACCAGAGCAUAGCUCCAAGAGAAUCCUUGGCAUAUAAAAGGGGAUUUUAUCAGUCAUGUCAUGCUCUAGUAAUUUACACAGCAGCACAAGACCAUUUCAAGAAACCGUUAAAUAUAAUGAAGAACAAGUAUUUGAUGCAAAGAUUGUUGAUAUGAUGUAGCUUAACAGCAGAGAAGAUUACAAACUAUAAUUUCCAGAAAAAGCAUAGAGUGGAGGUCAACCCUUAAUUUAAAGUGAAUGGACAAACCAUACAAUCUGAUUUACAUGUAGAUAUGAUUUUUAAAGUUUUGAACAGAAUACUUAAAAUGCUACUCCACAGUCAAAGUUCUAAAACGUUGACUAAACGCGUGUCUAAAACAUCAGCUAUUUGUGAUAUAUACGAGAUUACAAAAUGGGCCUCACAAAAGGAUAAAACCUGGAUCUAUGCUGGGCAUGUAAAGUGAUGACCGAUGAGUCAUAUGGAUUACUGAUCUUGCAUGACAGUCAGAUAACAUGUGUCAAAAAGUAUAUUUGAUGAUCAUCCAAGAUUAGACUUGUAGCACCACCUAACACAAUCAUACCAAAUGAUCAGUUAGAAAAGGGGAAAAACAGACACUUUACAAAAGCUAUCUAGGAAAGAAAUGGGAUGCAGCAAAUCAUGCCAUGAUACCUAUAAAUAUAAUACCAAAGAAGAUCCUCAUCCAUCAUCCUUUAACCAAAUAUAUAUAUCAAAUCAAACUAAUAACCAGACAUCAUGAAGACCUUGUUCAUCCUCGCUCUCCUCACCCUCGAGGGGACCAACGCUGUUGCGCAGUUGGACACUACCUGUAACCAGGGCUCCGAGCAAUGUCAGCAGCAGCAACAACCAUGGCAACAAUGGCAGCAGCAGAUGGACCCAUGUGUGCAAUUCCUGCGGCACCAAUGCAGCACAGUGACACUGCCAUUUGUGCAGUCGCGUAUGUGGCAACUUAGCAGUUGCCAUAUAAUGCGACACCAGUGCUGCCAGCAGCUAGCGCAGAUCCCAGAACAGUUCAGGUGCCAUGCUAUCCACAACGUGGCUCAAGCCAUCAUGCAGCCGCAGCCCCAACAGCAGUGGCAGGGCAUGUACCAGCCCCAGCAACAAGCUCCGCUUGAGAUCAUGAUGAUGUCGCUUCAGAUCUUGCCGUCGAUGUGCAGCGUGUACGUCCCGGCAUACUGCCAGGUGUAGCGGUGGAUGAGUCUGUGAAUCAGUAAGAGUGCCUGUACUAGUUGCAACUUGGAAAUAACAACCAACAUCUGUUUCUGGAUGAAUAAAGGAUUUUCCUGACUAACAUUGCAUGUCUUGCAUGAUAGAUGAAAUCUAAGACGCAUCUGACUGAACUGGACCAUCAUCAUACUCUGUGCCUCAAAAGUUUACAGCAUGGAGAGAGAGAGAGUACAUGAAGAAGAUGUUGGAAAUAUGAGCAAUUUACCAAAUGAUUUUAUUAGCAGAAAUACUAGAUAAAGCAUGACUAAUAUAGCAGAGAUAAAACAAGUCAUGCUAUCUGAUAGAGAGAAGGUAAAUAGCAUCUGCAUGUGUGAACUAGAAUCAAACAUAUCUAGAGCAGACACUAGAGCCAGAAACUGCAGGAGAACCUCAAACAGAAAGAGCAUGAAUAUGUAGGUACAGCAGCAGAAGCACUGGUCUUGGGGUCAGCAUCCUUGCCAGCCAUGUCGUCGAAGAGGUUGUCGACGUCGGGGAAGAAGUCAUCGUUGAGGAAGUGGUCGUCGGUGUCUGGAGCGUCCAUGAUCAACAGGUCAGUAGUCGCGUAAAGCGCUCCCCAAAAACCUUAUCACCCUUCUCCCGUACAGGACUGAAAGAGGUGCGGUUCCGGAGGCCUACUGUCCCAACUUGCAGUGCACGCCGCAAAGCGGGAUGUGGAAGAUCGUAGCAGCAGCUCAAAGAUUGGAACUCAGUGGCGAGAGGGAGAUUAUCCAGCAGUCGAAGGGAUGUGCCGUUCGCAUUCAGUCUCCACUAUAGUAAAAAUCUUUUCAGCUUCCAUGUGACUUUUCGUAUACCAGUUGUGCGUGGCAAAAAUUUAGACAUCGGCUCAUUCCCGCAACCCGCGGCUCGUCGUGCCGAGGCGGGCGGCGAAGGAGUACGCGUGAAUGUCCCUCUUGUUCUCAUGCUCAUACAUGUGGGGAAACAACCUCCCUUGUAAGGAGGUCCAACUCCGACCAAACUAGCAAUGUGGGACUAAACUUUGGUUCCACCUCUUGCAUUGCACGAAUGGGCUGUGUGGGCCUUUAGGAUUUAUUAGGAAUUUCUGGAAUUGUAUUGGACUGGCCCAAAAUAUGGAUAAAAUUCCAGCAGAAGAGAGACCAGAUCAAGGGAUAUACAUACAUGAACGAGCUUUAUACAAAAAAUUAACGGAUUUGAUAACAGCAUUGGCAUACCCAGACUUCUUGUUCAGUACAAAUGAUAAACCUCAACCAAAAUGCUACAAAUCAAUUAAAUGUUACUCAGUACAAACUAAUUGAUUGAGAAACGGAAGAGACAGGUAAGGGUGGGUGAGCGCGAAAAAUGCCAACGAAGGCCGAGCUCUAGUGAGCUCAUUUUCAAAUUUUAUUUUUCCGGAGCGCAAAAAAAUCCAAAUUUUAUCUAGUGAGCUCAACGAAGACGACCGCUUGCCAGACGCCGGGACGCCGACUCCACCGCCUGCUCUUUCUGCAAGGCCUGUGCUCUCCCCCCUCCACUCUCUCCCAAACCCUAGAUAGCUCCAAUCUUUUUUAUUUGUUCAUUUGUCGCUUAUAUUUGUUCAUGUAGCAACAGCGCGCUCUGUGUUUGUUGGCAGGAUUAGAUUCAUGCAAGUGCAAGAUAUCUGGGAUGGAUGUCAUGUCAGGGUGACAGGGUCUACUUUAUUUUUCUUAGCAGAAAAAUAGAUUGUUUUGUGUACAACGUGCCCCGCGAAACAAUGUAAAGCAGCACGCAUAAAUAUUUUGGUGCACUGAGCGUUCUCGUAUCUAUGGGACAUUGUUGUCGCUAGAGUUUCCGGCCAGGACCUUUUCACUCUUCAGUCUCGUGUUCUGAAGAUGUUAUGUAGCUUAUCCAUUAGACCUAUUUGAAGAGGGUUCCGUUACUAACAUGUUUACUUUCAUUGUAGGUAACGUAUUUGGUUUCAAAGCCCUACGUGCUCUACGUUUGGAGGAUCUACGAAUUCCCCCUACUUAUUCAAAAACUUUCCAAGGCCUGCCUCAUGGUAUCCAAGUUGAAAGAGAUAAGUUGAACAAGUAUGGUCGUCCUUUAUUGGGAUGUACUAUUAAACCAAAAUUGGGAUUAUCCGCAAAAAAUUAUGGUAGAGCGUGUUAUGAGUGUCUACGUGGUGGACUUGAUUUUACCAAAGAUGAUGAAAACGUAAACUCACAACCAUUUAUGCGCUGGAGAGACCGUUUUGUCUUUUGUGCCGAAGCUACUUAUAAAUCACAGGCCGAAACCGGUGAAAUCAAGGGGCAUUACUUGAAUGCGACUGCGGGUACAUGUGAAGAAAUGAUUAAGAGAGCUGUAUUUGCAAGAGAAUUAGGGGUUCCUAUUGUAAUGCAUGACUACUUAACCGGGGGAUUCACCGCAAAUACUACUUUGGCUCAUUAUUGCCGCGACAAUGGCCUACUUCUUCACAUUCACCGUGCAAUGCAUGCAGUUAUUGAUAGACAGAAAAAUCAUGGUAUGCAUUUCCGUGUAUUAGCUAAAGCAUUGCGUAUGUCUGGGGGAGAUCAUAUCCACUCCGAUACAGUAGUAGGUAAGUUAGAAGGGGAACGCGAAAUGACUUUAGGUUUUGUUGAUUUAUUGCGCGAUGAUUUUAUUGAAAAAGAUCGUGCUCGUGGUAUCUUUUUCACUCAGGACUGGGUAUCCAUGCCAGGUGUUAUACCGGUAGCUUCAGGUGGUAUUCAUGUUUGGCAUAUGCCAGCUCUGACCGAAAUCUUUGGGGAUUA